rnacentral:lncRNA from 1 species
UUUUUUAGACCUUAACUGUUUUGAAUCUUCAUGUCUAUUUAGGCAACAGGACGGGGUAAGAAAGUUAUAACCAAUCGGUGAAUUCGUAAGCAUCGGGAUUUUCUCACUUCUCAUGAGAUUCGAUUGAAGACAAUAAUGCUAGAACGAUAUGUAGCCAACCGUGCAAACACUAGCACAUUCUUCCUGCUGAAUGGGAGGUUACUAUUGUCCAUCAGGCUUAAGUUUAUCAGCAGCAUGGUUUUGACGGAUGGGUAUGUGCAAGAGCAAAAAAAGGAGUUUCAGGUGGGCAAAAGAGCUUCUGAACGUGUCGGGCUUCUAUUUACAACAUAUUGUGGUCAUAAUCCAGUAAAUUUUACGACCCAUGAUGUUCAUUCUAUGGACCUGACCGAUCCAUUUGACUGUGACUGCCAAAAACAGUGCUGGAGUUAGAUGUUGUUGCCCUUUUCAACCUGGGUUUUUUUGUAAACCUGAUGAACAACUAACCCUCGUGCUUUUGUACAGUUUCUAAGCUGGAGUUAGAUGUUCUUGCCCUUUUCAACUCGGCUGUGACUGUCAUAUUUUCUUUGAAGCAAGGCAAAUGGAUUGCCAGUUGUUUAAUUUAGAGUGAAAUAUUGUAACAACUAAGAAAUCCCAACCAAGGGAAAUAACAUCACUCUCGCCGGCUGCUUGAGCUCACUGUGCAUUACAGAAGCCGAGUGAUUAGCCCCCACCAGCACCCACAAACUUAUUUCCAACUAGCACAUCAAAUGGGCUGUAAAUUUUCAUAGGAAGGGCUGCAUGACCGUGAGAGAUUUGGAUUCUGACAUUUGGGACCCGUGAGGAAAUAGCCUAUCCAAGGUGGUGUCGACUUACUAGCCAGUCAACAAACGAUUCUGCCUACCAGUCGUUGGAUUGACAUCCAACAUCUGUCGUGUAUCUUCUAUCUCUUGUCUUCUUCCUCCAGCCACUCAAACCAAACCACCCCGUCGGCUCCGCCUACUCCCGCCUCCCAUGGCUGGCUGCGCCUCCGCCGCCCUACUGUUCGUACCCUCGAACGUUGGCCAGUCCCUCUCUCUAUUCCCCCACACGUCCUGUUAUUCUCCAGCGACGUCAGCCCCAACACGCACCCGCACCCGAACUAGUCAACCCUCAUACUCCCCUCUGCCUGUGACUGGACCGGCACAUCAUCCAUGGCUCCUGUUCGUUCCGUCCGAGGCCUCGCCGUCAUCCUCCGCCUUGCGGCCUUGGUUCGCUCGCCGUGCGCGGUGCGCCGCCCUCUUGCGUUGUCAACGUCGUCAACAACCGAGAGGAACAAGGAGAUGACUGUAUGUGGAGAGGAUGACAGUAGGGACCCACCAGCGUCAUGGCAGUAUGCAAGCAAGUGCCUCUAUAUUACAAGCCCAAAAAUAUGGUUCCUCCUAAUGGUUGGACAUCUGGGACUCACGCCAUUGUCAACGUAGUCAAUAAACAAGAGAAUUACACUACGUGCGGCUGACACCAGGGACCCAGCAGGUCGCGCAGUUUUUCUUUUUGAGGAACAAGGAGUUGUUAUUUAUACUAGUUUUAGCGACGGAUCAGGGUAACAACGGGGUUGUGCGGGGGCUAUGGCCCGUCUAGCCAGGGUUUUAUUUAUGUUUACCACAUCAUGAGCCCAGUUGAGUUUUUCUUGCUGAAAAUGCCUAGCCCAGUUCUUUUUUUUAAGAAUACCCAAACGAGGCCUACUUGCUUUAUCAGCCCUGCUGGGCUGCAAAUCUUUCAAGACGAGGAGAGUUUCAUUUGGUUGCCCAGAAAUGGGUUGUACAUUUUUAAAACACAUCAAACCGGGAAUUAGUUUCAAUUUUUUUCAUUACAAGAUUUGAAAUUCCAUUGAUUUUUAUGCGUGGACAAUUAUUUGGAUUUUAUAUUUAUAUAAAUUAUUUUUCAAAAUAGUUUGAAGGUGAAUCGAUAUUUCAGGAUUCAAAACAAUUGACCGCACCGAAAUAUGCAAAAAAAUCUUAUACUUUUUAACCGUGGCCACAAUAUGGGGUGUAAUGCUAACAAAAAGAAGAUGGGCUCCAAAAAAAUUCUUAAGAAUUAGCAAAUGGGCUGUACAUUAUUAGAAAUAAUGCACACGAGAGCAGUGACUGUUGGAUGUCCAUCCAACGGCUGUCGUGCUUCUUCAAUCUCUGCUUUUCCUACUCCAGCCGCUCAAACAAGCACCGGCGGGACUGCCUGCUCCCUCCUCCCGCGGCCGGCUAUGCUGCCGCGCAGGCCUCACCGCUCCACCGUACUCCCAUCGCUGGCCAAGCCAUCCCUCUACUCACCCAUACCUGCUGUUAUAAUCCAGGGACGGCAGACGAACCAGUAAACCCUCGUACUCCUCCGCGUGGGAAACAACUGCCGAGUCUUCCCUGUCUACGUGUCGUUCCCAUCCUAGGCCUCGCCGUCGUCCACCGCCCUGGUGCUCUCGGCGCGGCCUGGUCAACGUGGUCAAUGAACGACAUCCAUUGGAAGUGGACUGUACGUGGAGAGGCUGGCAGCUGGGUUCACGGCCGCACGCAAGGAAAUGCCUCCUUAUUACGCGCAAAAUAAUGAUUCCUCCACCUGACAGCUAGGACCCACGGGAAGGGCUUCUGUAUUUCGCGAAAAAAACGUUCCCCCCGCUGACAGGUCGGAACCACCAGCUAUAUCUUCGCACGCAAGGAAGUGCCUCCAUAUGACGCACAAAAAAAUGAAUACCCCCCUGCUAGCUGGGACCCACCAUAGUGGGUGGCUGACUUGUAGGCCUACUAAGUUGACGGGGACAGAGGGCUUUGUCAACUUAGUCAAUAUGAACGAGUCUAGCUCCAGUGACCGUACGAUUUCCAUCCAACGGCCAUAGUGCUUCUUCAACCUCUGGUCUUCUUGCUCCAGCCGCCCAAAGCAGCGCCGGUCGUGCCGCCUGCUCCUGCCUCGCAUGGUCGGCUGUGCUGCCGCGAAGGCCUCACCGCCCCCAUACUACUCCCACCGCUGGCCAGGCCAUCCCUCCACUCACCCACACCCCCUGUUAUUCUGCAGCGAUGGCAGCCUCACACCGCAGCCGAACCAGUGAACCCUCGUACUCCUCUCCGCGUGGGCAUCCACUGCCGCGUCUUCCCCGGCUCCGCCUCGUCCCCUUCCUAGGCCUCGCCAUCGUCCACCGCCUUGGUGCUCUCGGAGCGGCGUGGUCAAUGUGGUCAACGAACGACUUCCAUCGGAAGAGUACUGUACGUGGAGAGGCUGACAGCUGGGUCCACGGCCACUGCUGGGUCCACGGCCACAGCCCAGUUUUCUGUGAUUUGCCAAGUAAGUCGCUUUGUCAGGCCUGUUGUGGUGCAAAUCUUUCAAGACGAGGAGAGCUUCAUUCGGCUGGCUGAGAAAAUGGCCUAUCAGUAAUGAGAAAUGGGCUGUACAUUUUUAAAACACAUCAAACCGGCAAUUAGUUUCAAAUUUCUUUUUUUCAUUUCGAGAUUUUAAGUUGCAUUGAUUUUUAUGCGUGGACAAUUUGUUGGAUUUUAUAUUGAUAUAAAUUUAUUUUUAAAAUCAGUUUGAAUGUGACUCGAAAUUUCGGGAUUAAAAACAGUUCGGACCGCACCGAAAUAUGCAAAAUUUCAUAUAAUUUUUUAACCGUGGCUACAAUAUGGCUGUAAUGCUAACAAAAAGAAUAUGGGCUCCAAAAAACCUUAAGAAUUAGCAAAUGGGAUGUAAAUUAUUAGAAAUAAUGGCAGAUGGUUGUAUGAUGUUUCCACAGAUUUGAGGCUUUCCUAAAAAAAGGUUGACGCACAAGCAGUGACUGUUGGAUGUCCAUCCAACGGCCGUCGUGCUUCUUCAAUCUCUGCUCUUCCUGCUCCAGCCGCUCAAACAAGCGCCAGCGGGACUGCCUGCCCCUCCUCCCCGCGGCCGACUGUGCUGCCGCGCAAGCCUCACCGCCCCACCGUACUCCCAUCGCUGGCCUAGCCAUUCCUCUACUCACCCACACCAACUGUUGUUCUCCGGCGACGGCAGACGAACCAGUAAACCCUCGUACAGUCGUACUCCCCUCCGCGUGGGAAACAACUGCCAAGUCUUCCCUGCCUCCGUGUCGUUCCCUUCCUAGGCCUCGCCGUCGUCCACCGCCCUGGUGCUCUCGGCGCGGCCUGGUCAACGUGGUCAACGACCGACAUGCAUCUGAAGUGGACUGUACGUGGAGAGGCUGACAGCUGGGUCCACGGUCGCACGCAAGGAAAUGCCUCCUUAUUACGUGCAAAAUAAUGAUUCCUCCACCUGACAUCUGGGACCCACCGAAAGGGCCUCUGUAUUUCGCAAAAAAAAUGUUACCACCGCUGACAGCUCGGACCCACCAGCUAUAUCUUCGCAUGCAAGGAAGUGCCUCCUUAUUAUGCACAAAAAAAUGAAUACCACCCUGCUAGCUGGGACCCACAAUAGUGGGAGGCUGAAUUGUGGGCCAACUAAGUUGACGGGGAUGGAGGGCUUUGUCAACUUAGUCAAUAUGAACGAUUCUAGCUCUAGUGACCGUACGAUGUCCAUCCAACGGUAGUAGUGCUUCUUCAACCUCUGGUCUUCUUGCUCCAGCCGCCCAAAGCAGCGCCGGUCGUGCCUCGUGCUCCUGCCUCCCGUGGCCGGCUGCGAUGCCGCGAAGGCCUCACUGCCCCCUACUACUCCCACCGCUGGCCAGGACAUCCCUCUACUCACCCACCCCCCAGUUAUUCUGCGGCGACGGUAGCCUCACACCGCAGCGAACCAGUGAACCCUCAUACUCCUCUACGCGUGGGCAUCCACUGCCGCGUCUUCCCCGGCUCCGCGUCGUCCCUUUCCUAGGCCUCGCCGUCGUCCACCGCCCUGGUGCUCUCGGCGCGGCGUGGUCAACGUCGUCAAGGAACGGCUUCCAUCAGACGUGGACUAUACGUGGAGAGGCUGACAGCUGGGUCCAUGGCCGCAGCAAGGAAGUGCCUUCUUAUUACGCGGAAAAUAAUGAUUCCUCCACCUGACAGCAGGGACCCAUCGGACGGGCAACCGUAUUUCGCAAAAAAACAUUUCCCCCUGACUGCUGGGACCUACCAGCGACAUCUUCGCACGCAAGGAAGUGCGUCUGGGCAAAAAAAAAAGAUUCGCCCCCCGGACUGCUGGGACCCACCAGCUACAUCUUCACACGCAAGGAAGUGCCUGACAGUCGGGACCCACCUGGUCGAAGCGUACGUAGCGUUGUCAUUCUGGUCGCGAACGUGUAUGUACAUACUGGUCGAUGUAGAGGCGCGCACGUGUCGUAGUAGAGGCGCGCACGUAGCAUGUACACGUACGUACAGCGGCCAGGGUGCAAGAAAGUAAAUACGGCCACGUACGUACAUACGGGCGGGGUCUCGAACGCCUACUCGCGCGUACGUACGGCCAGGGCUCGUGUACAUGGCUGGGUCGGAACGGAGAAAUUGCGUCGUCGUCGUGUUCAUGGGGAGGCAACGGAAUGCGUCGAGUUCAUCGGGAGGCAACGGAACACGUGGGAGCCAACCGGCCUGGACGGAACAGCCGAUGGAAAUGAGGCCUGGCGUACCGCAGAACGGAGGAAACGGCCUUGUGUUCGACCGGCCACGUUCGAAACGGGAUCCUGUUCAUCGGGAGGGGUCUGGCGUACCGCAAAACGGAGGAAACUGACCUCCUACUGUCAAAACGGGUGUCCUGAUGAUUGGGAGGGGUGUGGCGUACCGCGAAACAGAGGAAACAGACUUGUGUUGGAGCGCUACGGUCGAAACGGGGGUCUGUUCAUCGGGAGGGGUGUGGUGCACCGCAAAACGGGACUCCACGGGAUACUGUUCAUCUCCAUCGUCGACCCCCUCCAGCCUCCACGGGCUACUGUUCAUCCACCGUCGACCUCCUCCAGCCUCCACCUGCGACUGUUCAUCCACGGGCUCCUGUUCAUCCAGCAUCCACCGCGCGCUACUCCACCGGCUACUGUUCAACCAGCCCUCUCCACGGGCUCCUGUUCAACCACCCCUCCACGGGCUACUAUUCAUCCAGCCCUCCACCGUCUACUAUUCAUCCUGCCCUCCACGGGGUGGUCCUUUCAUCCAGCCCUCCACGGGGUCCUAUUCAUCCAACCCCAACCGGCUCGAUCGAUCGGGGUCCUGUUCAUCCANNNNNNNNNNNNNNNNNNNNNNNNNNNNNNNNNNNNNNNNNNNNNNNNNNNNNNNNNNNNNNNNNNNNNNNNNNNNNNNNNNNNNNNNNNNNNNNNNNNNNNNNNNNNNNNNNNNNNNNNNNNNNNNNNNNNNNNNNNNNNNNNNNNNNNNNNNNNNNNNNNNNNNNNNNNNNNNNNNNNNNNNNNNNNNNNNNNNNNNNNNNNNNNNNNNNNNNNNNNNNNNNNNNNNNNNNNNNNNNNNNNNNNNNNNNNNNNNNNNNNNNNNNNNNNNNNNNNNNNNNNNNNNNNNNNNNNNNNNNNNNUCCAGAGGCAGCAUCGAUCGGCUUCAGUUAGCAGCAGUAGCGAAGGAAUCGCUCGAUCGGGUUCAGUUAACAGCCAUCGAUCGAUCGCUUGGGUUCAGUAACGCAUAGCCUGUAGUGCAAUUGCUUGGGUUUAGUUAGAGCCCAACGCCUCACACCCACGUGCGUGCGUGUACAAGAGAAAUGCGCAUCGCUCGGCCCCGACCACCCACCCUAACCGGGAACACCCCGAUAUUUUCCUCGCCCUCGCUUCUACCACAGUUUUUCCGUCAUGGACGGCCCAAAGAAUGUCAUGCAGCUGCGUCUCCGGCCUGCCCAGGACGAAAAGCCCAUUUUCUGUCAUGAUUUUUUGUCAUAGAAGUAGGACCCCACCACAUCUAUGAUGAUACCGUGUUUUGUCACAAUUAUUGUCAUAGAAGUGUCAUAAGUAUGACAGAAAAAAAUUCCGUUCGGCCCAAAAUGUCACGGAUAUGUCUUUUUUUUGUAGUGUACGUGGGGUUGUGUGAGAGAGAUACAAACGUAGAGAGAUAUAGUGUGUGGGUUCGUGAGAGUUUUGGGGGGGGGUCAAUCAAAAAAUGUAACAUAUGCAAUGUGUGUGAAAUAGAGUCCUGGAUAUAGGGGGCGAUCCACGAGAAGAGAGUGGAGGUAUCAUCGGCUUGAGGUGUCCAUAGAAUCGAAGAGAGGGAUGAUGUGUGUGUGUGCGCGCGCGCGAUUGAUAAAGAGUGCCAUCGAAUUUGUGUGUGCCCACAUCAAAGAUAUAGAGUGGCUGGCCUACUGGAACGUGAGAGGGGACAGGUGCAAUUUGUCUCUGUGGCAUGGAUACCUACCUACAGCGCUCGAGUAUCGGUGUGUGGUGGGGAGGAGGGAGGCCUAAUUAACUAUAGAGGUACAAUGGUUGGUAUAUGUGUGGAGGAGGAGAGAGGCCUAGCUCAUGUAUUAAGGGAGAUCGAUCUACCUCAUGUAUUAAGGGAGAUCGAUCAGCAUCCAUGCAUAUGUGUAUGAGAGGAAUAAGGUUGGGAGAGAGACAGAGAUAGAGUGUUGGAGGGGGUGGUAGUGGGGUUGCUUCUAACAAAUGGUGGGAUAGGCUUGCUAGACAACUCGAGGGCACGCCUGCAAUGUCAAUAAGAGAGGGGAUGGCUGCCUGUCUGUGCACGUGCGUGUGAGAGAUGGGUCAGGAGGCAUGCACGAAUGAUGAGGGGGCGAUAUGGCUGUGGUAAGCAGACAUAACUACAUAGGAAGAUCAAUCGUCCUUUGUCAGAGAAAGAGAGACAUAACUUGUGAGGUACGUCGAUCGAUGGGGGGGAAUAGUUAAAGUCGACCUAGGUAUAUGUUGGGAGAUCGAUCGGUAUACAUGCAUGUGUGUGUUAGAAGCAAAUGAGGCACGGGGAGAAGGAUAGAGAGAGAGGGAUGCAUCUAGGAGGUGGUGCGAGAGUCAUAGUAUAUCGAGGGGGAGGAGUCUGCGAGUACGAGAUCGAUGAAAAGAGUGGUGGGAGUGAGGCAUGGACGGUGAUAAGAGAAGAGUGGAAGCUUGUGUUUUGUGCUACGCACACCUGGCUAGAGAGGAAUAUCGAUCGAUGUGUGCCGUAAAGAAGGAGCUGGGGCGCCUACACACACCGUGGGUGAACGACCUAAAGUGAAAAGACGAAUUUGCACGAUGGAGCUAGAGAAUGCUGAGGGAGGGUGAGAGGGAUGCGGGUGACUGCAUGCACGAGAGAAAGUUAGCGCUAGCUAGCUACAAAGAUAAGAGGAUUGUGUGGGUGUAAAAGACGAAUAGAGAUCAUACUUCAUUAUAAAAAGCGAAUUUGGAUAUUUGAAGAAUUUAUCAUAGUUUUUUAAACCGACGCAUGUGUGAAUAUAUAUAACGGUGAUACACAUGGUGUGGUUAUGAACAUGUUAUACUACAUAUAAUAUAUUUUAUCUCUACUCUUAUAAAAAACGGAGUUGUUGAUGAUGGUGCCAUCCUACAAUAUAGGCCGUCCGAUUUAUAUCUGACAGAUAGGAAGGAAACUAUGGCAAUUUUGAAAAAAGAUACCCACACCCCUCUCCAUAUUUGCAAAUUAGGCCUCCCCUUGAUCAUGUUGAUGUUCUUUGGAACGCAUGGGCAUCUUGCUAGUACUACGUAUAAUAUAUAGAACAUUGAUCAUAAUUUGGGCUAAUGUGUGGCUUUUGCAGCUCAGGUCUAAAUACUUGUCAUAAUGUAGGGGGCAGGGCACUAUACUAUGUGUGAUAAACACGGUGUACACGUAUUGAACAUGGUUUAGAUUAUGAAUAUAUAGUUAGUACAUCAAAUGUACUAUUAUUUCGAAUCAACAUCAAGUGUAUUCAAAAAUAGAAUUCGAGUCCAUGUAGUACACAUGGUUCAUAUCUAUCUCUAUAGUAAUCAUGUGGUGUGUUAUUAAGGUAAUACACGAAUGAUGGUUGAAGUUGGCAACAAUCAUGAUUGUAGAUUGUUAUUGAAAUAGAGAAACGAAUUCUAAUUCAGUUCGAAUUGCAGCGGUAGUAUAGACAUUUGGAAUGCACUAAAAUGUUGGUAUGAGUAGGUUACAUGCAUUAUACAGCAAGCGAAAAAAUUUAAUUGGACAUAACAUGGAUUCAUACUACCGAAUAGCAUUUAAUUGCACUAAAUUGUUGGUAUGAGUAGCUUUAAAUAGCAUUUUUAUAGUAAAACGGGGCAAGACUCUCUCUUUGUGUGGUGUGAAUAGUUUUAUUUUUUUCAUUUUUUUUGGUUGAGGGAAGUGUGAAUUGAUUUGGUACGUACAAGUACAAUAUUACACGUUAGGCUUGUCCCUAAAAUUCAACCCGCGCCUUGUUAUAUCCCGAAAAUUCAGAUAUCGUGCUCCCAAAACUGGCGCCUUCACAACCCGCGCCUUGCUAUCCCAAAAUUACAACGCGCGCGAAAACUCCCUCCAGCUGCCAAAUCCCGACACGCGAAAUCCCCCUUCUAACCCUGAGCCAAAAGGGCCGCUAGUUCAAAUCGGUGGGGGGUACUUUUGUAACACACCCUACAUUUUGGACAAGUGCGUCCCUAAGUCAUGGUUCACCCCCUCCCAUCGCCUCCUUUUUGCCAUUCGAAAUCCCAAGCUGCCAUAACCUCUCCGCUCCAACCGCGAAACCCCACCCUCCUCCGUCCGCCACCUCACCGCUGCCCAGCCGGAGCCUCUUCCCCGACGACGUCGUCCACCGCAACAGCUCGAUGUCCCUCGUCCACCUCCCCGGAUGAGGAUCUGUCGUCCAUCUCGUCGUUCCGCCGGUUCAGCCGCCCCGUCCUCCACCUCCAAGGAGCUGCUCCGACGAUCGCCUCGUCUAUCGCGGCUGCUCCAUCCCCACAGCGCCACCUUAACCUGCUCCACCGGAACCGCAGCAUCCACACCGACUCCUUGGACGAAGCCGAGGCCUCUCGGCGCCACCAAAGAGAUUGUACACUCAUCGCAUCGCACCUUCUCCUUAGCUCGACCUCCCGGCGCCGACGGUGCUCCAUCCUGCACCCCCAUGGAGCGGCUACCUUGAAGCCGGCGCCGCGGCCGACAUCUCCACGGUGGCACUCCACCAGUGCGAGGCCCCUAUGGUGGCGGCGUCCAUACCAGCCAGAUCUGCUGCUGCUACUCCGGCUCUCGCUCGCGCAGCUGCUGCUGCUCCGGCUCUCGCUCGAUCGCGCGCUCGCCCAGCUGCUGCUGCUCCUGCUCUCGCCCGCUUGCUCGCGCUGCUGCUGCUUCUUCGGCUCUCGCUCGAUCGCUUGCUCGCUCGCCCAGCUGCUGCUGCUCCAGCUCUCGCUCGCUCACUCGCGCUACUGCUACUGCUCUCCCCCUUGCUCGUGCUGCUGCUCUGCUUUGAUUUAGCUACACUUCAGUCGACUCAACCGGCUUUUGGGUCAGUCGAUUUUCAGGGGGUGGGGGGGCUCGCCGGACUUAAGGAAGAACCACCCGCAGGGGGGACGGGGGCUCACCGGAGAGGUACCCCACUAUCUAUCUUAGGGUUCAGGGUGGGGGCGGGGGCCUAUAGGGCUAGCCGGGGCAGCGGCGGACCGGCGGUGGGGAGUUGUUUCGGGGCGGCGAGGCGGCGCUGGGGCCGGCGGCGAGGCCGGUGGUGGCUGGCGGCUCAGGGGGGUGCAGGUUGAAGAUGAACUGCAGGCCCUCCCUAAACUACAUGUCAAGUGCCUCUCUGCUACCAUUGUGUUCAGUUUCGAUAGUAACAUUCAGAUUCCACAGUAAAUUUCAGUUUCGACAGUUAAGUUCAGAGUCAACAGUUUUUACAUCAUCUGUUGUAGUCAGGUGGUUUUUGGUGAUGUAAAUUUACAUCUAUUUUACAUCAUCUAUUGGAGAUGAUAUUAGAAUCCCACUUGAGAUUGACGAUGUCUGUCUUGUGCUGCUUCAGCCUUGACAUCUUACGGCUCACCGGGUCUGCUCCAACAACAAAACAAUCCAUCACAACAGAGCAGUGCCCUGGACGCCGUCUACAGAUUCCUCAGAUCUUCCUCCACACCUCCGACAGUCACCUCUGCCUCAACUGCUUUAGCGACCAACCCAAUGAUGUUGAGGUCGACACGGCUACGGCAAAGAGGUAGGGAAUUUUCCAAUGGCACUCUACUAUUCAAUUAUUCAUGCAUUUUGUUGAAAGGAAUGAAGCAAAACAUCCACCUGGACCUACUUUUCAAAAUCCUAUGCAUGAAAACAAGAGCAAGUGCAUUAGUGGCAGAAUAACAUUCUAACUGUAUACACUUUCAUAUGGUUUCACUUUAUUUUGGCCAUGUUUCUUUGUAUUCCUCUGCUCUUCCAAUUCCUAUAAACCAAACACCCAAGUUGACAGAAAUCCUGUGUUUACAAAUGCUCUGUUUACCAUGUGCAUUCCUAUCCUAUUCCGGUGUUUUUCCUAUCCCUGCAUUUUUAGAAUCAUCCAAGCCAAAUGAGCCCUUACAGAAUUACUUCAGUUACAGGUAGGUGUCGAAGGGAACUUUGUGUGGUUUGUCCUGCUCCUGCCGCCACGUCGUCCACCUCACCUGAGGUGCUCCAUCAAAAGAAACAUCCACCAAACCAGACAUCACGACUCCUGACCAUCUUUCGCCGCCUCAGAUCUCCUUCCCUGCCGCCGGCACCCACCGCAGCGGCAUCACCAUCAUCGACUCAGCAGAUGAACCUGAGGAGUACACGGGUCCACAAGAGAGGUCGCACUCUUUUGAUUCUGCUUAUGUUAUGCAUUGCUUAAAAUUACCUGCUACUUUAUCAUCCUGUUCACCUCUUGGACUCCAAGUCAGGUCCAAAUUAAUGUUCAAACUUGAGUUCUAAAUUAGUUGUGGGGCACAUAUCGAGGAAGCAAUGAAUAGUAUCUCUGUCUAAUAUCUGGUUCACCUAGGGUAUGCCUGUGUUGUUCAUCUUGGGUGGGAAACAAAUAGUAAAGCAAUCAUCAUCUGUCUUUUUAUUAUAUUAAAGCAAUCAUCAGCCUGCUAUCAUUAUUUUUGGAUCCAUCCACUGGUUGUUACCAUCACUCUAAAUUUCUGCAUGCUCUCCUUACAUAAUCUCACCAUAUUUUUGCGCAACAAUACAAUGUCAUGCAGACAUCGCUCCAUGGUGGGUUCAAUGGCAAACCCUCCCCACCCCUCUCCAGAUUGUAAUCCAGAGGAAGAUAUCUGUUCUGAGGCAGAUUCAGACGCCGCUGACCACUCCUAUUUACCCCCCAAGGUGUUUGCUCUACCUUGGCAUGAUGAUGUUUAGUUUCUAUAUCAUAUAUGGGAAUUAUGCAGUCUCAUGUCUUUUAGCCAGCCAUAAUAUAUGUGAAAUAUGCAAUGCCAUCCUGUUUAACCAGGCAUCAUAUAUUUGAAUGAUAUCUUGCCCAUCCUUUUCUUCAUUACAUUUCCAUUUGUCGACAAUGUUUAUACAUUCAACUACUCUUCCUGUGAAUCAGCCAUUUGGGUGGGAGAUUGAAAAUCUGGAGUGAAAACAAGGCCUUCAGAGCAGACAGUACUACCUGUCGAAGCAAAUCUCUUGUUGGUCCCGAUAGCUCCUCAGAGAUGGAUUCAGAGACAGAUGACCAGUCCUAUUCCCCCACCGAGGUGUAUGCUCUAACUUGGCACGGCGUUUUAGUUAUUCAUCAUAUCUUUGAAUUAUGUUAUGCUAUGCUAUCCAGUUUAGAUAGACAUCAUAUAUGUGAAAUUAUGUCAUGCUAUCCGUUUUAGUUAAACAAUAUACAUGUCAACUAUUUCAUGUCCUCUUUUUUCCACACUAUCUAUUGCAUCUGUCUCUCAUACAAUGUCUGUACAUUCAACUAUGUUUCCUGUUUAUCAGCCAUUUGAAUUGGAGCGGGUGAUGCCAGCAUCUAGCGGACUAAAAAUGCGGUCUUCAAAUAAAACAGUGCUACCUCUUGGUGGAGAUAGCACCCCGGUUGUACAUGCACGAGAACCAGCCCUACCACACAUAACCCAAACUCUCGCAGAUUGUACCCCUACUGCGAUGGACAAAGAACGAGCUUCGCCCAAUCUAACCCCAACCCCAGCAGAUAGUAACCCAGUUCCUGUUGACACAGCACCAUCUCCACCACAGAGCUCCCAAACAAGAGCAGUUAGUAAGGCAGCUCCAGUGCCCAAAGGGCCAGUACUACCACGGCGAACCCCAACUCCACCAGUUAGUACACCUAUUCCUGUGGAGGAAGCACAACCAGCUAGUCGUACUUUAGCAUCUAUCGCAUUUGAUGUUGUUAAAUCGUAUGUGCGUAUCUUCCCAUCUUGGAAAUAUUAUACUGAAUAUGAAGGAAAAUGCCAGUUGCAGGUGUUUGUCCAGGAGUUAUGUGUAAGUAAUGUUAUUCAUGGCAAUUACUUUGCUUUGUCCCAUACAUCCUACCUCCAUGAUGGUUAUAAUACAGCAAAUUUUCCCAUUUUUCUCUAUAGAGAAGGACCGAUUUGGAAACUCAGGAUGAGGUAACCUAUGCUAAUACCUCUGCUCUCUUCAAGAAUGCUUGGUGGCAGUAUCGGAAUUACCUGAAGAAAACGUACUUCACCGGCAAAGAAACUCAUCAAAUUCCCUUACGUUCUCCUGAGACACAUUUACUGGACGAUGACUGGGAACGCCUUGUUCUGUACUGGUCCCAAACCAAGAAUGUGGUAAGGUCUAUGAGCUCAUUUUCUAUUUUUAAGUACUAUAUUCUUGCGUCUUACUAUACUCUGUUCAUGUAGAACAAGUGCCUAAACCUGAAGAACAACUGUUCUAAUUUAAGAUUCUAUUGCUAUCAUAGUUCCAAAAAUCGCUAGGCGUUAAUUGUGCGUUUUGCACCGUCUUGCGCUUUACUGACCAAAGCGCAUGCUUAUGCGCAGUUAUGCACAGAUUAAGCAUAGUUAUGCGCAAUGCAUUUCGCCACGCCUAGAGCCUAGGCGCGGUUAAGCGCUCGCUUAGGCGCGCCUUUUUUAACUAUGAUUGCUAUCGUGCAUACUGCUUUGCUCUUGUAUCACUGUAUUUGCUCAUACAAACUUAUUUUUAAAUUGAAGGAUCCAAUCGAAACUCCAAUGGCACAGCAGGUAUGUUCACGCAUGUUUCUUUAACAGGCUUGCUCUUAUCAAUAGCUCUGUUGAUUUCAAUUUCAAUUGUGUAUACAGUUGACUUCUCAUAUCAUGCACAUUACUAGCAUCACAACAAAGCAAAUAGUGUUGUUGUACAUGUAGACCCGUGGUACGCAUCUGCAAUCUUGUUGUGCCGUGUAGUUUCCCACGCUUUGUAUUCUUUCACUGCUGCUUUGUCUUGAACUGAUAUGAUUUGAACCGUGUCUCUAUUUUGAUUUGGCAAGACAAUGCAGUGACCAUAGGACAUAGAUAUAUGUUUGUUUGAUGCUUUUAUUAUGUACUAGUACUUGGCAAUAGAAGACUUGGUAGUUUAAUCAUGUCCACCUUACUAAUGAACUGGUUGCCGAAAUGAGUUUCAUAUACUAGUACAUGCUAAACUGUUAUGUGUCUGCUUGUUUCUUCUUUUAGAAUGCUGACAGAAUAUUGGGGAAGAGUGCCUUAUUAAGCAAUGGUAAAGGAAGUAAUGCAGAUAAGGUUCAGGAUAGUGACACAUCCUUGUUGGUCUCCAACAAAGCUGAUAAAGUAGCUAAGGAAGACUAUCUCGAAGACAGUGAGACAACCCCAAAGUCCUAUCUUGUUUUAGUGUUGGAGUUUCUGGCCACUACCGCUUGCACAAGCUAUUCAAACUCACUGUCUGAAUCAGUUCGGUUUCUUGAGUCUCAACUACAAGCUGAAAGACAUCGAUCAGCUGUGCUACGACAAGAAGCGGAAGGACUGCGGAAGUCCCUAGAGCAUUCAGAUGCAUACUUUCUGGUGCAACAGCAAGCGUUGGAGGAUUUUAGCGCCAAACAAGACAAAGCUAAUAAGCUUGCUAAGCUUAUUGCCAGAAUGGUGGAUACCAUGUUUCUUGAGCUCUUCUGAAGUUGUUUCAGUUAUGCUCUUGUUUUGCUGCCGUGUUUACUUGCACUGGUGGCCAAUUUUGACGGCCAGUGUAUGUAAUAUGCUGCUUUGUUCCCUAUAUUUGCACUGGUGGCGAACUUUGAUGCCCAGUGGAUGUAAUAUGUGUAAUAGCGGUAAUAGGCUAGCGUUAAUUGCUUGCUUAUUUAUUUCCUUAUUGUCUUGUAUAGUUGUUUGCUUGUAGUCACUGUAGUUCUUUUUCUGUGUUUUUCUAGGGGCCACAAUAACCUAUCUUUGGAAACUAGGCCAAAAUAAUCAUGGCAACACACGGAUUGUUGUAACCAUGGGCCUCCUGCGGGCCGUAUGAUCCAUGGGACUUCUACGGGCCGUAGGAUCCAUCGGCCUUCUAUACGGGCCAUAGGAUCCAUGGGCCUUCUACGGGUCGUACGAUUCAUGGGCCUUUUAUGGGCCGUAGGAUCCAUGGUCCUUCUACAGGGCGUAUCAUCAUUUCGCCAAUCAUGGGUCGUACUAUUCGUGGACAAUAACGGGCCGUUAAUAGGCUGUAUUUGAUAACUCUAUGAAAACAGCCCAACGGGUUUUUUUUGACAUGAAAACAGCCCAACGUAUUAUCGGGCCACAAACGGGCCGACUGUAACCACGGGCUGAAUUUGGCCCACAAGCAGAAAAUGACAGUAACGGGCCGUAAGUAAACGAAUGUGGAAAUGAGCCCAAGAAUAAAUUGGCCCCAAGAAGGCCGAAAGAUAACAUGGGCUGGAAACGGCCCAACGGAAUAAUGGGCCAUUAAUGGGUAUAAAUUGAUACACUGUUCAUUACGGCCCAGUUUCACCACGUGCCGUUAAUGGGUAUAAAGUGAUACACUGUUCAUUACGGGCCAGUUUUACCAUGGGCCGUUAAUGGGCCGAGAGUAAUAAGGGCCUCAUAUGGGCCGAAAGACGUCAUGGGCCAUACAUGGGCCGGAAGUUAAAACGGGCUGGAAUUAUAUUGGACGGCCCAGAUGACGCUACUGAGCCUAAUUCGGAUAGGCCGUAAACGGGCCCUUGGUUAGCGGGCUGUAAAUGGGCUAUAUGCGAACAGGCCGUUAACAGGCUUGCCGUGGGCCGGCCCGUCACCUUUUGACCAAGUCAAACGGGCCGGCCUUUACACAGGAAUGGGCCUCUGUUGGGCCGUGCCACGUGUCGACGUAUCAUAGGCGCUUUGGGUCCAAUGAGUGGAUGACAUCUGUCCCAACGGUGAGCCGACACGUGUUUCCUCCAGCCAAUGAUGAUUUUACACGUGGAAAAUCCCCAUUGGUCGGGGCUGUUAACGGGUUAUCGGAUCCAAAACCGAACCCGAUAGCUUAACGGCGUUCCGUUAUGGUGGAUGCCACGUUUCGGUCACCCUUGACGAAAGCACUUCUGUGACGCGCGAUUUAUCGUCAUGGAAGUGGACACUUCCGUGAUGAUAAUUUUCGUAAGUCAUGGAACACUUCUACGAUAGCACAGGUAUGACUAUCUUGAUUCUGUCAUAAAUUUGUCAUGGAUGUACAUGCAUGACAGAAAACGUGACCUACUGUGACAAACACGUAUCAUCACGGAAGUGUAUUUUUUUGUAGUGUCAAUGGCGAGCAAAACGCUCGGGCGGACGCGAGCAGAGCGCGCCGCGAACGCCUCAAUGGCGAGCAACCACGUGGUCAACCUUCUGCCAUCAAAAAAAUUUGACCUUGUUUCUCAUCACAUUGCAGAUUACAACGCAAUAAGUAAUUGCAAAUCUGUUCACACCUAUCAAACUAAUAUGUGUUCACACUUAGCGUCGGGCUAUAAAAACCACCCACUCGAAAAUUACUUCACAGUUCCUAUCUUCAUCACCCACAAAACUAGUCUUUCCUGUCAAGUCGUUCCGCCAUGACCGGUAGGAGGAGUUUAGGGUGGACAUAUAACCAGGCAGCAAAGACCAAGGCCACGGAAGCACUAGAGAGGUCCCGCCGUGAAGCUGCAGCCACAGCAGAGAUGUCCCGCCGCGCCACGGAGCCCUCGAACGAGCUCUUACGGGCAUGCGAGGGCUCUCACAAGCGCAUUCGCGGUGUCGGCCAUCGCGAUGAGCCGGCGUUCCUGAAGUCCUCCACCGGCAACGACGACAUUCUCGUAGGCGUCACUACGCAGCAGGAGCUGGUCGACGGCUUGAUGAAGCUGCUCAAGAUCAGCGAUGCCUCGGUUGACAAGGCGACCAGCCUCGUCGAGCAACUCAUGGGUGAGAACGCGAAGCUCCUCAAGGUGCUCGCCGAGAAGGAUGAGGAGGCCGCUGGCUAGAAGAUGCUGCAUGAGCAGAGCAGUGCCUCGGGGAUGACGCCGACAGCGGUCAUCGAGGAACUGAUGGGUGACUUGAGGAAGCUCCAGAUCAAGCGCGAGCAGGAGGUGGAGGAAUCGGUGGCUGCUUUCAAGCAAGGUCGUGAGGAAUUGAAGAAGGAGCUGGAGGAUGUCGUCGCCCGGCGAUCCAUUGAUGAGUAGAGAUAGUAGCGACCCAGAUCGUUGUCUGCAAUUUCCUUCUUCUCUUGCCCCCAUGUCUUCUGGGCUUUGCCGCAUGUGGCAUUUUAAAUUAUCCGGAAUAUGUAAGACAAUUAUUAUCUGUGCCAUUAUAAAUUUGUCGUCGUAUUAUCCGUUGCCAUUUUAUUUGUGGUCGUAUUAUUUGUUGCCCUAUGUGGCAAUUUAAAUUAGGGCGGGAUACGAGUUGAAAACACGAACAAAGCAAAUGUUGCCAUGGGAUCACAAGCAAACACCCUCCGUCCAGGUGCUUUAAUUAACCCAUUAAUGGAGAAGUUGUGAGCGAGGCAGGCAGCGGCUGGUGCAUGGAGGUCAAAGAGCUCGCUUCCCGGUGAGCAUGGGCGUCCUUGCUACUCGCACGUGUCUCGUUGAGCCUGCGAGGUGGAUAGGAUGCACGCGUCCUGUCGAGCCUGCGCGGCGGACUGGUCACACGCGUCCCGUCAAGCCUGCACGGCGGAAUUCUCGCGCUUGUCCCGUCUAAUCAAACAGCUGCACGCACGCCACCGAGUAUGGUUAAAUUUCGGCAGGUUAAUAUAAUACAACCGUUUGCGAUAUUAACAUGUCAGCUUUUUGUUUCAAAAAGGACUUCGUUGGCUACUAAUGUGUGCGAUUCUUCUCAAACUGAACGAUUGUUUUUACCACGGCAUAUAUGUGCCAUGUCAUGAAACCAUGCCAAGUUUCAUGUUUUUUGGGUGAGUUUUUGAUUUACUGGGAUUUAAAAACCGAGAUUCUCAAUCUUUCAGGAUGAUGACAAGUUUGUAAUUCAUUCUCAUUCCUUAAAUGAAACCUAAACAUGCACCCAGUGACACAGGUACGAUUCCCCACCCAUUUUGCUUCACUGGAGCAUGUGCUUGUAGUUCGAAUUUGAAUUAUGGACUGCAAUAAAUGCGUAGAAAACUUAAUUAGUAAUAUAUACAAUGGCCAAACGAACCCUAAACAGUUUCAAAUUUCAGCACGACACUCCUGUUAUUCUAUGUUGCCUGUAGAAAACAAAGUUCAAGGCGAGAAGAGGCAGCGAUUAUCGUUUUGCCCACCAGAGGGGCAUGUUUCCCUACCGGAACCACGAGGGUUGUGACAGGCUCCGGUUUGUAAGAGGCUUGUAAUAUAGGUUCGCCCAAAUUGGAAAAUUAUCUGUACCAUGUAGUGACACCAUGCCAAGUUUCAUGAUUUCCUAGUGCGUUUUGGAUUUAUAGAGAUUUAAAAACCGAGAUUCGCAAUGUUUGUGGCCAAGCCAGGACGGCGAGACGGUUGAAUUCGUUCCAUGGGACCUAAACAUGCACCCCAAGGAAACAUGUAUGUUUUAUCUAGCCAUUUUGGUGCACUCGAGGAUGUAUUUGUAGUUCGGAUUUGAAUUAUGGACAUUAAAUGGAAACUCAAUUAUGAAUUAAAAAGGUCAAAAUGAAGCCUGAAUAAUUUCAAAGUUCAGCGCGAAUCUCCCGUUGUUCCGUGUUGCGUGUAGAAGAAAAUACGAGGCUAGAAGAGGGAGAGAUUAUCAUUUGGCCCACAAGGGGACACGUUUCCCUAUCGAAACCACGAGGGUUCUUGCGACAGGCUCCGGUUUGUAAGAGAUUUGUAAUAAAGCUUCGCCCAAAUUGGCAAUGUUUUUACCACGACAUAUAUGUGCCAUGACGUGACACCAUGCCACCUUUGAUGACUUUCUGGUGAGUUUUGGAUUUAUGGGGAUUUAAAAAUCGAGAUUCGAAAUGUCUGAGGAUGAGCCAGGACACCGGUACGGUUGCAAUUCGUUCCCAUUCCUGGCAUGGGACCUAAACAUGCACCCAAGGACACAUGUAUAAUUUUUCUAGUCAUUUCGGUGAACUGGAGCAUCCAUUUGUAGUUCAGAUUUGAAUUAUGGACAUUAAAUGCCUAGGAAACUCAAUUAGUGUAUAAAAAGGCCAAACGAGCCCUGAGUAAGUUUAAAUUUCAGCACGGAUAUCAUGUCGUUCCAUGUUGCCCGUGGAAGAAAGUACAAGGCGAAAAGAGGCAGUGAUUACGUUUCGCCCACAAGGGGAACACGUUUCCCUAUCGGAACCACGAGGCUUCUUUGAGAGAAGCUCCGGUUUGUAAGAGGUUUGUAAUAAAGCUUGGCCCAAAUUGGACAAUGUUCUUACCACGACAUAUAUGUGCCAUGACGUGACACCAUGCCACCUUUGAUGACUUUCUGGUGAGUUUAGGAUUUACGAAGAUUUAAAUCCGAGAUUCCAAAUGUUUGAGGACAAGCCAGGACGCGGGUACGGUUGUAAUUCAUUCCCAUUCCUGGCAUGGGACCUAAACAUGCACCCAAGGACACUUGUAUAAAUUUUCAAGCCAUUUUGGUGAACUGGAGCAUGUAUUUGAAGUUCAGAUUUGAAUUAUGGACAUUAAAUGCCUAGGAAACUCACUUAGUGUAUAAAAAGGCCAAACGAACCCUGAAUAAGUUGAAAUUUCAGCACGGAUAUCAUGUCGUUCCAUGUUGCCCGUAGAAGAAAAUACAAGGCGAAAAGAGGCAGUGAUUACGUUUCGCCCACAAGGGGGACACGUUUCCCUAUCGGAAACACGAGGCUUCUUUGGGAGAAGCUCCGGUUUGUAAGAGGCUUGUAAUAAAACUUGCGCCAAAAUGGACGAAAAAAUUCCUUGACAUAUAUGUGCCAUGUCAUGACACCAUGCCAGGUUUCACGAUUUUUGGGUGAGUUUUGGAUUUACGGGGAUUUAAAAACUGAGAUUCUUCUCACGAAAUGUUUUCAAAUAGCACACGGUUCACUCACGAAAGUCGUGUACAUACCAACCCGUGGCCGAUGCCCCCCUCCCCCCUGCUGCGCUCGCGAUCUGAGUCGUGCGUUCUGAUUGGCCAUAACCCAAACCCCAUGGAUCGUACGUGUGCACCAUUGGAUGCUCCCAGAUCGAACGGCAACCCUGAGCCCUUUCGACAACACAUGCAGUACAUGGGUAAGCACUGUGUGCAUGCGUCGUGCUAGCUCACGCUUCCUUCUCUACUAAGUUUUCUAAACAGGCUACCGUUUCUCGCCACUCCUCUCAUCGGUUUCCCGCCUCUUCUCCCAUCAUUUUCCCGCUACCAAUGUCAGUGCUCAUUGAAGGCUAGCGACGACACACCGGCCAUGCAUGUAAAUAUCCCACACAGUUUCUAAAAGCACAAAUGUGUGUGAUAGGAGGGAGUACGUCCCAUAGGGUGACCAGCGUGAAACGCCUUAAGGGUAAGGAGGCAAUUCUUAUCAGCAAGGGGCGGCUUCCCAUCCGCUAGCCUAGUCGAAUAGAACGCAGAAGUUAAGCGUGCUCGGGCUGGAGUAGUCCAAGGAUGGGUGACCCGUUGGGAAGUUGCAUAUCUCAAGCUUCAUUUAAAUGCCAUGAUAGGUCACGAUAUGUUUUGCUAAUUUGUAGACUAUGUUUUUAUGGGUUAUUUUUUGCUCUAAAAAACUAAAGAAUGAUUGAGUUGACCUGUCAUGGCGAUUAUUAGAACCUACUAAGUUUUUAUGGGUUAUUUUUUGCUCUAAAAAAUUAAAGAAUGAUUGACUUGACCAGUCCUGGCGAUUAUAUAAACCUUUUUAUGGUUGCAUGCAGGUUAUAGGGGGCAUGGUGUUCUUCUCGAGCAUGUCUCCCUUGUGCGGCUUAUAGACGCGGCACAUAUCUGUGGGCUCCCCGAGGUAUAUAUACUAUCCUUUACCGACAAUUAGGGGGGCCCACACAAUCUAUCCCUUUGACCCAACAACGAGAAGGGUUUGAUCAUGAUGGUUUCCUAUUGUUACUAGCAAGGUACAGGUGCAUUGCACGCAUGAGAUUUGGUAACCAAAUUAUGAAUAAAUACCACACUAUAGCAUGUAAGCUUUGAGUCAUAUAUGCAUGAUGUAGAUGUUCGUUUAAUUCUUAUAGUUCAUCUCAUCCAAAAUCAAUUAGUUUUAUAAAAAAUCUAUUUUAAGAUUCAUGGAAUUGUGCAUUGUAAAGUAUAAAGUAAAAACAAAAAGUGACAAUUCAUUUAGAAAAAAAAAAGUUUGGGCAAUUAAGAUAUGGAAGAUUCUAGAGAACAAAGGAGAAGUGCUUGUGUUUUGAGGUUGGUGCAUUAUGCUUAAGUUCAACCAUGGAGUCUUCUAGAUUGUACAUGUGGCAGAAUCUGGUGGAAUGUAGAUGAUAUCCAACGGCUAGUAGUGCUCGGAUUUGCCAUCUCUGUAUUGUCGGAUUGGCUUCAUCCAACGACCAACUUUCAAAGUUAUUCGCACACUAUAUAGGGGUAUAGAUAUAGAUGUGUCCCAUGCUAGACCAAAUAAAGUUUGAGCGCAUNNNNNNNNNNNNNNNNNNNNNNNNNNNNNNNNNNNNNNNNNNNNNNNNNNNNNNNNNNNNNNNNNNNNNNNNNNNNNNNNNNNNNNNNNNNNNNNNNNNNNNNNNNNNNNNNNNNNNNNNNNNNNNNNNNNNNNNNNNNNNNNNNNNNNNNNNNNNNNNNNNNNNNNNNNNNNNACGUAUGGAACCAGGCUUGGAGACGGGUACGGUUUCAGUUUGUAAUGUAGUUGGUGGCCCAUCGAAGUUGUGCAUUCAGGAUUUAAACACAUCACACAACACCGUACCCAUACAUAUUUUCGGGCCGCAUGCAGUGUAUACAGGGUCUUCUAAUCGACCAUGUCUCCCUUGUGCGGUUUUUUGUGACGACACGCAUAUCUGUGUGCUCCCCGAGUGUAUAUAUAUCAUCCCUUUGACCGAUAAUGAGGGGUAUGUGUUGGCCAUCAAUGGAUUCCUCCUAGUUCGUGUUAGGGCCGGUCACUGUCACAUGUCGCUCAACCAAAGCUCGAGCUCAUGCGUUGUCAGGAUUCCCUCCCACAUGCUUGGAUUGCUGGGUUCAACCUACAUCAUACCCUGUGUAUCUCGUCCUUAACUACCUUGCCUUCAUGGUUGUUGUCUGUAUCGAGAGGUAGGCACCACAUCUAAAUUGUACAUUAUUCUAUAUUGAAAACGCACAUCACCCCUUCCCAACGUACAUCAUUUUGGGCCGCAUGCAAGAGGUGUUGGUUUUGUGGUCCCUCUCGUGCAAUUUUUAUGAUGGUUCAAUCUAUUGGCCCAAGCGGUUUAUCGACAACAACUGUCGUUUGACCAAACGAUAGAUUCAUUGGUCCGUCUUAUGGUAGGUCAUGGCGACAUGCAUGUAUGACCAAAGUAUCGAUCAUUACGUGCAUCCGCCCCGCUAACACGAAGUGGGAGGUGGUGGGCCAAGCAUCCUAGCUAGGUACGACAUUAUGUCAUUAUAGAUAUAUAUCCAAUGGUGCUUUCGGGUUUGCGAGGCAGGUGCCACCAAAGUUAUGCAUUGUGUAUUUAAAGUUUUAAACAUCCCCAAUAUUCCUACAUAUAUUUGGCCACUUCCAGGUGGUUCUUGACUUCUGGCCCCUCUCAUCGAUCUUCGAUGAUGCGCCCAACCGUGGGCCCGCGCGGUCAAAUUUGCGCAUUGGAAUUUUGAACAUCACAGACCACCCUUCUCACUCACAUAUAUUUGGGCCACAUGCUGGUGUGGCUGUCUUCUGACCCUCUCUAACGUUUUUUUUGCUGCAAAGACUCUGAUGACGCUCAACGGACACGGGUAUAAUAUCUUAACCGUGUGCGAUACAAGUGCGAUGUGAAUCACCACGCCUGCGCAAGCGCGGGCAAAGGUGGAGGUACUGGCUCAACCGUGUGCGAUGCAAGUGCGCUGUAAAAUCACCACGACCGUGCAAGCGUGAGCAAAGGGUGGAAGUACUGGCUUAACCGUGUGCAGUGCAAGUGCGUUAUAAAAUCACCACCUGUGCAAGCUAAAGGCGGCUAAGUUUACUUGGAAAUUAGGACGAACCGUGUGCGAUAGACCAGCUAGCUAGAAAUAUAAAAACAAACUACCCGCCUAGAGCGUUGCAAAAAUCAGCGGUCUCGCCACUUUUCCUUAUUAUCAUACACGCAUAUUGUUAUUGGACCGUGCGCGAUCUUGGGCGCUCCCGCCCCACAUCAAUUCCUUUACCCAAAUUUUAGUAGUCGUCAUACUUCAACCGUCGCCCACACUCCUCCAGCACCGACCUUAUAGUAAAAUUGUAGUAGUCGAGGCAUUUGAACCGUCGCCCUCCCUCGUCCACCACCAUCUCCACCCACCAUUACUAAAAUUUUCAGUAGCUGUGGCAUAUCCUCAAACAACUCCCCCCCUCCACAGUCCCCCACUCGAACCCUAGCUCGCGGCCGCCGCCGGCGCCGCCGGCGCCGCCACCAACCCUUGCCAGUCUGCCCGUUCCUCCUACCUUAGAUAAUAAAGUUCAGGUUACCCAGUGAUUCCCAUACCGUCGCCCCACUCCCCUGAGUUUUUAGAUGAGGCCUGCGAUGUCCCUCCACGCCAGAUCCACAUCCCCUGCCCCAGAAUGUUGCAGCCUAAGCUCGACCACGUAUCCCGGGGAGCCUGACGAGCGUUCGGCCAAGAAUAGGUUUAUCAUGGCCUCUCCGGUGGACGUUGGCGAGGUGGCCACCAUUCGCCCCGACCUUUCGAUCCCGGAGCAACAUGUCACUGCGGAAGCCGGCGAAGCCGUUGACUAUGUUGCCAUGCCGAAGGCUUCAUGUCAGCGGGCUAGCGUAUUACUGUAUCUUGGGAAAGCUGGCUACGACAUCAAGCUCGUCCACAGCGACGGCUUCACGCGGGCUAUGUCACAGGUUAAGUGGUCCAUCCCCAACCCCUCUGGUUCAACCACCGUCGAUCUCUUCGACGGCCCUGCCGCUGAUCUCCUCCGCCAAGCAGUCAAGGAUUUGCGAUCUUUAUACGCCAUCGAGCCCAUUUUGUCAUUUCUGAAGGACACGUUCUACGGCGGCGGCUUGGGAUCCUCAAUUGCCAAGUCAGAUCUCAUCGACCACGACCACGAGGAGGGCACCCACGAAGGUUCUUCCAAGGUGAAACAGCCCAUCUGUGACAUCAAAGAGCGCACCAUGGGUAUGUGCUCUUCCAACUGGAAGGAUCCCGUCCAUGAAAUGUGAGGCAACAUUCUAUCAGCAAAUCUUACCUUUUCUAGCUUGCCAACCCGUACCCUUUGUUGUAGUAGCAUUUGCCGUGCGGUGCUUUAACUAUGCCGUGUUUAAUUAUUUUAGUUAUGCAGAAAUGUAUUGUUCAAUAGGGCUAUGUGAUGUUUAAGUAUGAAUUGUCCACUUCAGUUUCACGAAUGGCUAUAUUUGGUUGUUUAUAGUGAUUAGAUGCCUUGUUUAUCUGUAGUUGGUUGUUAGGUUGGUUGGAGUGAGCAUUUUUCCAGUUAUCGAGCAGAUGCCUUGUUUAUAUGUAUUUGGUUCUUAGUUUGGUUGCAGUGAGCAUUUGUCAAGUUAUCAAGCAGAUGCCUUGUUUAUCUGUAUUUGGUUGUUAGGUUACUUUUUUUAGCAUUUGUCCAAUUAUCAAGCAGAUGCCUUGUUUAUCUGUAUCUGCUUGUUAGGUUGGUUGCACUGAGCAUUUGUCUAGUUUUCAAGCAUAUGCCAUGUUUAUCUGUAUUUGCUUGUUAGGUUGGUUGCAGUGAGACUCUGUCCAGUUUUCAAUGGCUAUAUUUGGUUGUUAUACUGGUCAUUUAUGCCUUGUUUAUUUCAGUCAUUCACAAUGUGUUGUUCAUUAUGUGCAAGUCGGAACUGUGCCGCUCGACUACAUCAUACCAGUUUGAACAGCUAUAUUUGGUUCCAGUUAUUCCUGGUGUAGUUAACACAUGCCCUUUAUUUCAGUUUUACACAUUUACCCAGUGUGAUGUUUAAGCAUUACCUACGUUCUAUUCAUUUUCAACAAUACCAGUUUGAAUUGCAAUAUUUGAUGGUUGUUAAGCCUGCUGUCGGUAACAUUACCUUCCAUUUUAUAUCUGCUUUAACAGCAUGCUGAAACCAUUUUCCGCCGAGGUUAGCUUCAUCCCUCGGCUUGUACUCCCCCCGUCGUUCCAUAAUGUAGUGCAUAUAGAUCCAGGCCUGGACACUUGUUAGCUUCUAAUAUUGACUUGUUGCUUGUAGGUACAUAUGCCCUUGGCAAGGAUCCACGCAUUGACCCUUUUUGCGUAUGGGGCAAUGAGAUAUUCAUGAACAAGCAUCAAGUGAGGAAACUGAUAAGGAUUAUUAGCAAAAAGAUACGAAUGGUGGCAAGCAAAUUAUUUGUUUAUGCUCUAUCCAACACAACAGUGAGCUGUAGGAUGGUAACUACAAACUCUGCAGCCUUCUCUUUUUACUGCCCAUAAUGAGUUGUUAGACAACAAUCUCUGAAUCUUUUUCGUUCGCAGUGGUUCCCGAAGCAGUUCACUCAAGAUUACCUAGCAAAGUACAUGAUUGGUGGACACGCAAUGAAGGUUAAAGUAUUUCAUCCAGACUACAAUGAGCAUCGAGAAGUCGUAAUGAAGACAGUGAAGGAUGGACGGGCAACCAUCACAAGGGGUUGGCCUAGAGUCGUGCGUGCAUUACGCAUGGAGGAGGGCACAAUAUGGGCAUUCCACUUCACCUUCUCCAGCAACCAGAAUGUCUUUCGCCUCUCUCUUUACAGUCUUUAGUACAACUGUGGUUCAUCAUUCUUUACUUGGUGCUUCUAUAGUUCUUCAGUAUAUGUACCUGUGCAUGGAAUUAUGCAUUCGUGGUUGAACCUAUAUUUGUAAUAAACAUGGUUGGAUAUGAAAUAAGUGAUUGCCUACUUUCAAAUUCAAAACAUGUGAUUUUUAAAUUAGGGAUUACACUACACAUGGUUUGCAAAAGCAAAACGUCUGUGAUAGACGUGGAGAUCAGAAACAUUUCUAGGAUCCACUACGUGUGCGAUCAAUCUCCACUGCACACACGACAUCCUCUUGAAAACUGUUUGCGUUAGGCCACCUUGCGCAAACGUUACCACAUAAAAACCGUGUGUGAUGGACAGCCUUUGCCACACAGUUCCUUCUACGCAUCAUGUGUGAUGCAUUUAAGCCUGGGAAUAGUUUGUCAUCCAGAUUGAAUCCAGCCCAACCCAUACAGGUAUAAGGGCAUCAACCAAACCAAACCAGACCAAAUAGUGAAUGCUACAAUCCAAACCAAUCCAAACUGUACGUAUUUUCAAGCCAAACCAAUCCAAAUUAUUCACCCGCAUCCAGUCUGAAACUGAAGUUUCAAACCAAGGGUGUGUCCGAUUACUACGGGAAGAGAAGAGAGGCAUUGGAAGGGCGAUUAGCUGCUACUGGAUGUGCAUGUUACUCACCACAAUGUACGUGCAUCAUACAUAGAACAUCCUAUAAUGCUAGAUAUAAACACUGUAGUUGACUAUAGCUGAACUCCAUCCAUCACGGGUUAAGGAGAUCCUGUUUGCACUGUCCGACCUCGUCGUCCAACUCGCCGGCGCCAUUGAGCGGGAAGAAGUAGCGGUACACCUCAUAGAGCGCCAUGCAACUGUUGUAUAUCAUGUGGUCUGACAGUAGUUGGGCAGCUCGGCCACCGUGUGCGCCACGCAUAGCCCGCAGUCUGCCGCCGUGAUGUCCCUGGCGCAAUACCCAAGCCUGUAGAUGGUCGUCUUGGUUCCGCCGCCGCCGCGUCUGAGAUGCACCGUGUCCGUUGCCAGCUCAUUGUUCGCGCCGUUGCCGGCGUUGCCGGACAUGAACUUCCAUUACGCUCGGUCGAAAGUGACCAGGUCCAUACCGGUGGUGUUCUGGGUGUUGAGGAGAAGGCUUAUCUUGUGGCCCGUGCCCGCACCGCCGCGGCCACGCAGAGCGCUCAGUCCUGUCGGGGGACAUUGCCGCAGCACUGCACAAGGCUCCAGAUUGCCGAGGAGGAGGAGCAGACGAUGGCCGUGCCGUAGUAGGCCGAGGCUCGCGAGACGAGCGCCCAAAGAACUUGGUCGAUGUUGGUCUGCGUCUCCGUGCUGGCGUAGUACACGCCGAUCAGGUACAUGCCAGAGCACAGACAUGUCAUUGAGAGAGCAGGAGCAUGGUCGACACCGGCAGUGGAGAAGACGAGCAGGACGUUGCCAAUGCAUGCUUUCUUUGAUCUGGAAGGGAAUAUGGUCGUUGAUUUAGUUCUCAAUCCACGGGUUGGAACGGUUUGAGACCGUUUGGUCUCUGACCAGACCAAACCAGACCAAGCCGAUAAUAGGAAAAACCCAAACCAAACCAGUCUACAUUAGGAGGUCAGCCCAUUUAAUCCAAACCAAAGGAAACCAAUAGGAAAACCGAUCUGAAACUAUAGUUUGAGUCCAAACCAUUCCCAGGUUUAGAUGCAUUCAACAACGCAAACGAUAAAAUUGUUAAUAUCAUGUGUAAUGGCAACGCUAUCACAAACGAUUUAACGGGGAAAAUUGUGUGUGAUGUACCUGUGAACGGAAACGUUUUCCUUGGAGCGACUGUGUGGGAUGUACAUACGAACGGAAACGUUUAGCGGGGACUGACUGUGUGGGAUGUACUUGCGACCGGAAACAAUUUUGCUUGUAUAAUUGUAUUUUUAGCUGUAUUGUACGUAUUUCCGUAUUUGAGCGCUCGCCGGUCGCACACGACCUCAUUUUGCCGAGCGUGUGUGUGUGCCAGGAGAGCAUAUCCCCGACGGUUUCUGGGUCAUGUGGGAAGGACCCCCCUAUCGCCGUCACUCACUUGGCGACGGUUCCGAACACCGUCACGGAAAGGGGUUAAGAACCAUUUGUAUAGCACCGACGCGUACCAGUGUUUGUUCUUUGUGUGCAGGAGCUGUUUACGUGGUGUUGCAUGGUUCUCCUACUGGUUCAAUAACCUUGGUCUCAUCAUUGAGGGAAAUACCUACCGUUGCUGUGCUGCAUCAUCCCUUCCUCUUUGGGGGAAAUGCCGACGUAGUUCAAGCCAACAUCAGGUUAAAACUCAAGUAGAAUAAGUACUUAAGGCCCAGGAUGAUUUGCUCAAUGAGUUGAAUAGUAAGAAUAAUGGUAAUGCUGUUAGAGUUAUGACUAGAGGUGGUAGAAUGACUCAGGAACCCUUGUAUCCUGAAGGCCACCCUAAGAGAAUUGAGCAAGAUUCUCAGAGAAUUAAUACUGAUGCACCUAGUCCUCCUAGCAAUAAAAAGAAAAAGAAAACGGAUAGGACUUUGGAUGCUUCUAGUGAACCUAUUAUAGAUACACCUGAGAAUCCAAAUGAUAUAUCUAUUUCUGAUGCUGAGACACAAUCUAGUGAUGAACAUGAACCUAGUGCUAAUGUUAAUGAUGAUGUUCAUGUUGAUGUUCAACCUAGUAAUGAUAAUGAUGUGGAGAUUGAACCUACUGUUGAUCUUGAUAACCUACAAUCAAAGAAUCAAUGCUAUGAUAAGAGAGACUUUGUUGCUAGGAAACAUGGUAAAGAAAGAGAAGCAUGGGUUCAGAAACCCAUGCCCUUUCCUCCUAAGCCAUCCAAGAAAAAGGAUGAUGAGGAUUUUGAGCGCUUUGUUGAAAUGCUUAGACCUGUCUUUUUGCGUAUGCGUUUGACCGAUAUUCUAAAGAUGUCUCCUUAUGCUAAGUAUAUGAAAGAUAUUGUUACAAAUGAAAGAAAGAUACCAAAAGCUGAAACUUCGACCAUGCUUGCUAAUUACACUUUCAAGGGUGGAGUACCAAAGAAACAAGGAGAUCCAGGAAUACCAACUAUACCAUGCUCCAUUAAAAGAAACUAUGUUAAAACUGCUUUAUGUGAUCUUGCAGCCGGUGUUAGUGUUAUGCCUUUUCUCUUUAUAUCGUAGACUUGAAUUGAAUAAGUUGACACCUACUGAAAUCUCUUUGCAAAUGGCUGAUAAAUCAACUGCUAUACCCAUCGGUAAUUGUGAGGAUGUGCCUGUUGUAGUUGCAAAUGUUACUAUUUUAACGGACUUUGUUAUUCUUGAUAUUCCCGAGGACGACAAUAUGUCGAUCAUCCUUGGUAGACCCUUUUUGAAUACUGCAGGGGCUGUUAUUGAUUGCAACAAGGCCAAUGUCACUUUUCAUGUUAAUGGUAAUGAGCAUACGGUAAACAACCUCAAGUUCAUAGUAUCAAUUAUAUUGGAAAAAUUCAACUAUUACUAUUGGAGGUUUUGAAUUCCCUCUCCCUACUGUCAAAAAGAAAUAUGAUAUUCUCAUUGUUGAGGACAUGCAUAUCCCCAUUGAGGUAACCUAGUGUUAUUAAAAAAUUCUCCGGUUUCAUGUUAUACGAAAGACGUUUGUUAAUAAGACUUGAUCAACCUUGUUAAUGGAUUCCUUUUUGUGAACAUGAGAUGGAUGAAUUUAGAAAGCACAACCUUCUGUACAUACUUUCUACUUUCUGUUAUUUAGUUGGAAUAAAGCAAAAAUAGUAUUAUCUGUUUGUUUUCUGAAUUUUCCGUGAAAUAAAAAAUGUCCCGAAAAUAAAAGUUCUCCAAAUGCCGUGAAAAUUUAGUAUGAUUUUUAAUAGAAUAUUUUAGAAUUUUUGGCACUGAGAACACACCAGGGGGCUGCACCAGUGGACCACAAGGGUGAAGGGCGCGCCCCCUGCCUUGUGGGUCCCACGUGGGUCCCCCUCACUUAUUCCAGCACCUAUCCACUUCGUCUUCCUCCAGGAAAAAUCAUCCCGUUGCUCAAACCCGUGUUCUAGCUCAUCUUGCUGCCAUUUUCGAUCUCCUUGUGCAAAGCUCCAUUUGCAAAACUGUUUUGGGGGAUUGUUCUUCGGUAUGUGACUCCUCCAAUGGUCCAAUUAGUUUUUGUUCUAGUGCUUUAUUUAUUACAAAUUUUUGCUGCUAAGGUGACCCUGUUAUUGAGCUUGCAUGUCAAAUUUAUAUGGUCCAAAGUAGUUUUGAUGCAUGAUAUAGCCUCUAGACACUUGUGGGAGUAGUUGCUAUCAAUUUUUUUCAGUUUCACUUUUAUUUUGAGUCACUAAAAAUUUCAGAAAUUUUUCAGAGGAAGAAAAAUGGUUAGGAGGAUAUAUCAAGGUGGUUCCUCAAGGAAGCAAGCCCCAAGGCUCGCGAUACGUGAGCCGGACAUUGAACCACCAAGAGAAGCUCCAGUACGGCCUUGUGAAUGGUCGUUGGAUGAAUUCAUGGUUCAGGCAGGGUUCAAGGAGGAAUUUGGCAUACAUACAAAACGCUGACCUAGAGGACUUCGUGUCAGAUAAGUGUCGGCGGUACUAUCACCUCACUAAUUCAUUUGUGCGCAGAUUUAAAUUUACAUCCCAGCGCAAUACUCAUACUGUUUUAUUUCAUCUAUAUGAUAAAUCAUAUACCAUGGACCUUGAAGAUUUUAGUGAUGCAUGCAAAAUUCCACAAGGGGGCAUUAUUAGUGAGCCUCGCAAAACUGAGUAUAAUGAUUUCCUUGCUAGCAUCACUGUGGGAGAAACUAGAAAUAUCACACAAGCAACCAUAGGGAGCAUUCACUUUCCUACCAUACAUUAUUUUGCUCUCUUUAUAGGUAGAUGCAUUAAUGGUAAACAUGAUGAUAGCCACCUGUGUGCAUCGGAUCUUACUAUCCUCAAGUGUGCGGUAACGGGUGAUAAACGAUAUAACAUGGGGGCUAUUAUUGCGACGAGGUUACAUCUUAAUGCUAAAGAUGGAGAUUUCUUUGGUGGGAUUUAUGCCACCCGUUUAGCUAAUUAUCUCGGGGUACCCAUAAGGGGGAAUGACAUUGAACUACCACUUGCUUUCCUUGAUUAUAAUGUUUUGGUACGCUACCAAUUUCUUGUAAGGAAUGAACAGUCCCUCUUGUACCGACUAAUCUUUGAUAGGCAGUGUGCUGUCCAUAUUACGCUUACCGCUUCUGCCUUCCUUAACUUUCAGGUAAAAGGGAGAUAUUUUAUAACUAGAGAGGAGGCAAACGAGUAUGAGAGAGAGGUGGAGGCCGCUCGCCUCCAUGUUGCAGCCCUUCAGGCAGUAGCUGCGGCAUCCCAGUACAACCCCGACUACAACUUUGGAUAUCCGCCAGGCCAGCCGUGGCCCUAAACCAACUUAGGCCAAAAGCUUAAUCUUGGGGGAGUACGUAUUUCUCACCGACAUUACAUUCAUGUUCACACACUCAUUCCAGUUGUCGGUGUUCAUAAUUUUUCAUUGUAUUAUCCAUGUUAGUUUAUUUCUUUUUCUUGCUUUCUUAUUAUGUGUUUGAAAAUCUUUGAGAAAAUCCAAAAUAAAUUAGUUGUAGUUUCUUUUUAGUUUUGCUUCCUUGUUUAGUAGUAGUAUUAAAGGAAAACCCGAAAAUAUUUCUCGUUCUUCUUUUGCUUGUUGGGAGCUUUCCCAUGUAAAUAGUUUUUCUCGUUCUUGUUUUACUUUCUUCAAAAAACAAAACUUCAAAAAAAAUCGGUGUGUUUAUUUGAAAUUCUUUUUUCCUUUCUUUGGGCUGAGAGGAGAAGACCACGAUGAAAAUGAUGAGUGGCUCACAUAUGCAUUAUUGUUGAUCUAACAAAGAGCCCAUAUUACCUUGUCUUCUCCUUUGAAUAAAUGUUUGCAGAUUCCAGCUUAGUCCAGUGCACGUGCACUAUUAUUAUUAUCCACACCGUUCGGUCGUGCAAGUGAAAGGCAAUAAUGACGAUAUUUGAUGAAAUGAUUGAGAUGAGGAAAAGCUGGUAUGAACUCGACCUAUUUUGUUUUUGUAAAUAUGAUUAGUUCAUCAUUCUUGAUUCAGCCCAUUAUGAAUGAAACAUGUUUGCAAUGACAAUUAGAGAUUAUAGUUACUCAUGCCAUGCUUAAUUAGCUAGGAGUUUAUAAUGGUUUACCUUGCGUGCCAACAUGCUUUUGAAAUGGUUGUGAUGUAGUAUGAUAGGAUGGUAUCCUCCUUUGAAUGAUUCCAGUGGCUUGACUUGGCACAUGUUCACACAUGUAGUUGAAACAAAAUCAACAUAGCCUCCACGAUAUUUAUGUUCAUGGUGAUUUAUAUCCUACUCAUGCUUGCACUCAAUGUUGGUUAAUCUCAAUGCAUGUUUAUGACUAUUGUCGCUCUCUAGUUGGUCGCUCCUCAAUCUCUUGCAAGCCUUCACCUGUACUAAGUGGGAAUACUACUUGUGCAUCCACUUCCAUAAACCCAAAGUUGUUCCAUAUGAGUCCACCAUACCUACCUAUAUGCGGUAUUUACCUACCGUUCCAAGUAAAUUUGCAUGUGCCAAACUCUAAACCUUCAAAUAAUAAUCUGUUUUGUAUGCCCGAAUCGCUCAUGUAGUGACUGGGGGAUGUCAGUAUCUUCCAUGCUAGGUGGGUUAUCCUCACGAUGAGUUCCAUGCUCAAAUCAAAUCAAAGUAUAAAUAUCAAACAAAACUCCCCCAGGACUAUUGUUGGUAUGGACGGUACCCGUUGUUUCGGACCAGCCGUGGAGUGUGCUUGUUGGUGGAGGGGGGGUAAAAACUUUACCAUUCUGUUUGUGAACCGCCUAUAAUGUAGCUAACAUGGAAGAUAAUGAGAUUUCUUGGUUGUUAUGUUGACAAUGAAAGCAUACCGCUCAAAAUUAUAUUCAACUCUAUUUUAAAGCUCGAGCUCUGGCACCUCGACAAAUCCCUGCUUCCCUCUGCAAAGGGACUAUCUAUUUACUUUUAUUGCUGAGUCAUCAUCCUCUUAUAAAAAAGCAUCAGUUAGAGAGCACCACUGUCAUUUUCAUGCAUUGUUAUUAAUUGAUAUUGAGUAUGACUGGAUCUCUUUUACCAUGAAUUACAAUGUCUAGUCAGUCCUUGAUCUUCAGGGGUGCUCUGCAUUUACGUUUUGCGGUCUCAGAAAGGGCUAGCGAGAUACCAUUCUGUUAUAUCAUAUCAUGGCUGUUUUGAAAAAGUGUUGUCGUCCGAGAUUUAUUAUUAUUGCUCGUUAGUUCAUUAUGUCAUUGAUAUGAGUAAACGUGAGACCUAAAUGUUAUUGUGAAUAUGGUUAGUUCAUGAUCUUUGCUGAAAACCUGAAUGUUGGCUAUACAUAUUUGCAACAACAAGAUCAAACGGAAUUUCUAAAAGUUUUUCUUUAUCACUUUUAGUUUAUCAACUGAAUUGCUUGAGGACAACCAAUGGGUUAAGCUCGGGGGAGUUGAUACGUCUCCAUCGAAUGUACUUUUCCAAACUCUUUUGCCCUUGUUUUGGACUCUAAUUUGCAUGAUUUGAAUAGAACUAACCCAGACUGACGUUGUUUUCAGUAGAGUUGCCUUGGUGUUUUUUUGUGCAGAAAUAAAAGUUGUCGGAUUGACCUGAAAAUUUACGGAGAAUAUUUUUGGAAUAAAAUAUUGGCAAAAGAAUCUACGAGAGGGGACCCACCGGCUGCCCACAAGGGAGGAGGGCGUCCCCCCCCUAGGGCGCGCCCCCUGCCUUGUGGGUCCCCUGGACCUCAACCAACCUCAACUCCAACUCAAUAUAUUCACUUUCGGGGAGAAAAAAAAUCAGAGAGAAGGAUUCAUCGCGUUUUACAAUACGGAGCCGCCACCGCCUCCUGUUCUUCAUCGGGAGGGCAGAUCUGGAGUCCGUUCGGGGCUCCGGAGAGGGAAAAUCGACGCCGUCGUCAUCAUCAACCAUCCUCCGUCACCAAUUUCAUGAUGCUCACCGCCGUGCGUGAGUAAUUCCAUCGUAGGCUUGCUAGACGGUGAUGGGUUAGAUGAGAUUUAUCAUGGAAUCGAGUUAGUUUUGUUAGGGUUUGAUCCCUAGUAUCCACUAUGUUCUGAGAUUGAUGUUGCUAUGACUAUUUUCAAGGAUUGGAUCUCAACACAUCUCAGUUAAUUCUACAUGUCAGACAUGAAUUUCCCCAAAACUAGUGUUGGAUAGGCUUGUAGCCUUGUUCUUUGUAGUUUUUUAGCUUUUUUGUUUAUUUUGUAAUUUGGUUUAUUUUAAUGAAAAAUACCGUAGAACGAUUGUUCGACGGUUAGUGCUUAAAAAAAGCUUGGAGAGCAGGCCUUGAUUUGAAGGUGGGAGUUUAUUUUCUUACAUAGAUUUUUUCUAAAUCUUUUAUUUUGAGCAAUCGGCAAGAGCUCUAUUAUGUUACAUCGGAAGAGCUGACAAUCUAGGAAGCCAUCAAAGAGUUUUGUUUGACAUAUGCAUAUUUGCCCAAAAUAAAGAUCCAACACAUGAAGGUUGUCUCAUCGCUCAUGCGCUUUACCUUUCAAUUACAAAAGAGUAUUUGACAUGAAAAAAGUCUUGAUAUAUUUCAAAAGCUACUCCACUAAAUUCUAUUUUUGGUUUCAGGUUUAUCAUUUCCACAGUUCGUUAUAUUUUGAAACGGAGGUAGUAUUAUUUAUGUUGUAAACUAGAACGGAUUGUUCCAUCUAUAUUCUUAGACAACAUGGAGGUGUGUACUCUUCCAUGACCCUGCCCUCUUACCCCUGUGGCUCACGUAGAAAUGGGAUAAUAUAUGCUAGACCCGGUUCUCAUGUUUCUUUUGCCAGGAAUCAUAUGCUCUUCCUUUCCUCGACAUAGUUUUGUUUUUUAUAUUGUUUAGCAUUUUAUAUAUGAAGUGUGAACUCCUUUUCUUAUUGUUUUUCUAAUUUUAUGUGAAGCGUGAACUUUGUUCCCCUUUUCAUUUCUUAUUUUUCUCUGAUAGGAAAGUGUGAGCUCUAUCAGCCACUGAUCUUUUAUUUCUUUGUUGGAUUUCAUACGUACCAUCCUGUUGCGGUCUGUCAUUAUUUUAUUCUGAAUAUUGAUUGCUCAAUAUGGUCUAGGUAAUGUAUAUUGUAACAUCUAUGGGGAUGGAUAACACGGUAAGGACAAGAAAGAUAUAUGCAAAACCCUGUCAUUGUCUAACUGACACGAAAUGUUAGUACUGUUGUUCUACAAGAUUUUCUACACUUCUGCAUGUACACAUCUCUUUUCCUAGUUAAUAUAUAUUAUUUAUUGUCGUAGGUUACCGUGAAUGACGAGAUAACUGCAUCUCACCAAGGAAAAGGACGACCAAACCAACUCAUCAUUCUAAGACAAUUUCUAUGUUGUCUUUCGCAGCUUGCAAGCUUUCUUUUGAUUUGUAACAUUAAUGAGGUCAUGUAGGUUACAUAUGUACAGAGAACCGUUUGACUAUAUAUAAAGAUCAAGUGAACUAAAUUUCCUACUAUAUGUUCAUUUUAGCCAUAUUGUCUCACUUUCAGUGGUUACUUCUACAUGUCCAAUGACAUUGUUGUAUUAAUGCUAUCUGUAUAAGCCAUGCAAUGUCCACUUGUGCACAUCAUAAAAUCUCGACAGAAGCAGCAAACUUUUGCCUAAACAAAACAUGUUCAUUUUGGCAUUGGGAGUGUUUUCUUUUGGUUUCCAUUUCUCUUCCUUCUCAAGAAUUUGCGGGAUUAAAAUAGUAAUUUAUUCUUUGGUGUCAUUGUUAGUAAAAUAUGUGAGGUUGGCAUGUCUUCCACUGAUAAUUGGAGUGUGUAUGUUUUUUUAGUUUUCUUAUAUAGGUUUUCUUUUUUACUAUAAAGCAAAUACUAACUCUUAGUAUGUGCCAUAGUCGAAAGCUUUUCCACUUGUAUGACAGGUUUUCUAACGGACCAGGUAUAAUGUAUUUUUAGUUGUACAUUAUUUCCUUCUUCAUAUUUUAGAGCGUCAUUUGUACAAACAAUGUUUCCAACAUUAGCAUUUAAAAUAAAAAUAUGGAUAUGAAAGGAAGGCAUUGCUAAGAAAUUAAAUUUGUAUUCAAGUCAGCACGUGCUUCAUCGCCGCAAUGGGUCACCUAAUCUAAAUAAAAUCUCCACUGGGAUGGUCUCACCUCCAGACAUCUCUAGUUUUUCCCUUGAAGAGGAAAGGGUGAUGCAGAAAAGUAGAGAUAAUUAAGUAUUUCCCUCAGUUUGAGAACCAAUGUAUCAAUCCAGUAGGAGGAACACACAAGUCUCCAAUGGUUGCACCUACGCAAACAAACAAAUACUUGCACCCAACGCGAUAAAAGGGGUUGUCAAUCCUUUCACGGUUAAUUGCAAAGAUGAGAUCUGAUAGAGAUAGGUAUAAAAGAUAAAUAGAAGUGCAAAAUAAAGUAAAGGUAAAUAAAUUGCAACAAGGUAUUUUUGGGUUUUUGGUUUUAUAGAUCUGAAAAUAAUAUGAUAAGAAUAGACCCGGGGUCGUACUUUCACUAGAGGCUUCUCUCUUGAAAGAACACAUACGGUGGGUAAACAAAUUACUGUUGAGCAAUUGAUAGAAAAGUGCAAAGUUAUGACGAUAUCUAAGGCCAUGAUCAUGAAUAUAGGCAUCACGUCCGUGACAAGUAGACCGACUCGUGCCUGGAUCUACUACUAUUACUCCACACAUCGACCGCUAUCCACCAUGCAUCUAGUGUAUUAAGUUAACAAGGACGGAGUAACACCUUAAGCAAGAUGACAUGAUGUAGAGGGAUAGAUCCAAUCAAUAUGAAUAAACCCAACUUUUUAUCCUUAAUGGCAAUAAUACAAAUACGUGCCUCGCUACCCCUUCUGUCACUGGGUGAGGACACCGCAAUAUUGAACCCAUUACAAAGCACCUCUCCUAUUGCCAAACCAAAUCAAUAGAUCGGAGAGAAAUACAACGCUAUCUUAAUCAUGCAUAAAAGAGUUCAGAGAAGACUCAAAUAAUAUUCAUAGAUAAUCUGAUCAUAAAUCCACAAUUCAUCGGAUCUCAACAAACGCACUGCAAAAGAAGAUUACAUCGAAUAGAACUCCAAGAACAUCGAGGAGAACAUUGUAUUGAAGAUCAAAGAGAGAGAAGAAGCCAUCUAGCUACUAGCUAUGGACCCAUAGGUCUGUGGUAAACUACUCACACAUCAUCGGAAGGGCAGCAAGGUUGGUGUAGAGGCCCUCUGUGAUCAAAUCCCCCUCCGGCAGAGUGCCGGAAAAGGCCCCAAGAUGGGAUCUCACAAGAACAGAAGCUUGCGGCGGCGGAAAAGUAUUUUCGGUGUGACCUCUUAUAUACGGGGAAUAAUUGGGUAUUUAUAGAGCUGAGAUUAGGGUUAGAGGAGCCGGGGGGCCACAAGCUCAUAGGGCGCCCCCACCCCUAGGGCGCGCCUGGUGAGCUUGUGGCUCACCCGUGGGCCUUCUGGCGUCCUCCCGAAGCUUCCUAGAUGUCUUCUGGUCCAAGAAAAAUCGUCAAAAACUUUCGUUCCGUUUCGUAUUGAUUUUCUGUAAAAUACAAAAACAAGGAACAAGCAGCAAAUGGCACUGGGCACUAGGUUAAUAGGUUAGUCCCAAAAAGUGAUAUAAAAUAGCAUAAUAAUGCAUAUAAAACAUCCAAGAUGGAUAAUAUAAUAACAUGGAACAAUCAAAAAUUAUAGAUACGUUGGAGACGUAUCAAUCUCCCAUGCACAUAUUGGCUUGUGGUAUCUUGAAAAGUGUGAGCAUACAAAAAAAUGCACUGAACUUGGUUGUUAGUGUCCAAUAAGUCUCUCUCUAUCUAUCUAUCUCUCUCUCUCUCUCUCUCUCUCUCUCUGCUUGUGCAUCCCUUCCGUGACUCUACCAAGCAGCCGUCGAUGGUCGUCCCUCCUAGCGGCCCUAUGGCACAACUCCUCUAGGAGAAACGGUGAGUUCCCCUAAUUUUCCCUUUCUUCUCCCUGAGAUCCUACUUCCCCAAUUUCAAAUUGAUUUAUUAACAAUUCUCUUCCGCUCUUUGAUUUUAGGAACCCUAGAUCUAGAUCGGUUGAGGGGAUUCUUGAAUCAAUUAUGAGCCGCCUCCAUUCCUUGCCGGUGCUACCACUUGAUGACGAGGACCUCCUUCAGGAGAUCUUCCUCCGCCUCCCUCCGCAACAAUCCUCCCUGCCGCACACUUCCCUAGUAUGCCCAUGUUGGGGCAACAUCCUCUUCGACCCCAAGUUCCUAUGCCGCUUUCGCAAGCACCACGAGAAACCACCUAUGCUUGGCUUCUUUGCAAGGUGUUUACUCACCGACGUGACCAUCUUCACUCCCACCCUUGACUCGCCUAACUACAUGCAUGUUACCCGCUUCCCCAUGCCACACAGCCACAAUAGCUACAAGCAGUUGCGCUUCCAGGGUUGCCGCCAUGGCGAAUGGCGACAUGACAUAGUGGAGGGCCGCCGGUACCCACUACAGGAAUAGCCGUCAAAUUCGAGUAUCGAAUAUACUUGUCUAAGGCCAAAAACAUACUCAGGUACCUAUAAGACGAAACAAUUCCUCACCAAGUCGCAUAAACUCUUAACCACGGUACACAAAAUUAAUCAAACAUUUGAUAUCAAAAUGUUGUCAUAGCGGCUAGCUAGAAUUGACAAGCACACUUAUCAUGUUUAGUUUUUUGUCUAUGGUGAUAAAACAUCGAAAAAUUUCAUAGUCACUUUUAGUCAUAACUCUCUAUGAACAAAUAGGCUUUACGGAUGAUUUUCUUUCUUAUGUUUUGAUUUUACACGUAGGUUCUACUUAUUGCUCUCCAACUAUUUUGUUAAUGUCAUUCCUUAUUAAAGCAUUCAACCUUCAAUAAUAAUGAUUUUUCAUUUUUUUGUACACAACAACUUGAUAAUUUUCUGUUCUCACUAUCUUCUUUUCUGUUUUUAAAUAAUAGUAAUGAUUUUUGUUUGUUUUAUUACUCAAAAUACAGGCAUGACUCUGGCCAUUAACUCACACUUUACAUUGAUAACAAAAACAAUAAACCUUUCCAUGUGGUAAGCAUUUCCCAUAUCCCAACAUAACAUCGAAGUCCUUAUUCUUCUUUUCGUUUCGAUAAAAUUUUCAAAGAUUUUUUUGUUGGCUAAGUACACCUUUAUGCAACUUCACAGGAAAAUGUACAAAAAUAUAGAAUAAUCUCAGCGUUCAAGUUUUUCAAAUCUCCACAGAACAAGUUGAAGGAAGUUUCCCUCCCAAUUGUCGUCAAUUGAUUUGAAACUACUUUAAGUUGGAUGACGAAGUAUUAGCCUUGUAAAAAAGUAUCAUCAGUCUGAUGUGCAAUGUGUCAUAGUGUAAAUUUUGAAUAAUUUUAAAAUUGUCUUUCUAAUGUAGCUACGAUCCCCAAAACGCAUACCAACUUUUAUAUCAGAAUUUUCAUUAGCGAAUGAGUAUAAUCCCCAGAACAUAUGAUCUUCAUUGUUUGUUUGUCCAAAUUUCCUUUCGUCCAUGUUAAGUGCUCAAUUCAAGUUAUUUUUCAGUCCAGGUUACCUGCAUGUUUUGGCAUUUUUGUUGCAAAGUACUACGGAACACUUUCAUAAUCAGAUGGUGAAAUGUCGACGGAACACUAUUGGUUUGUUGCAUUCUUAGUUACACUUGUAUCCAUUGAGUUUGGUUUGGUCAUAGUUCACUGUUGAGCUGCAAAUCUACGCUCUGGUCUCGAGUUGCUAUUCUAAUCCUCGGCAUACAACAAAGUUUCAUUCUUAUAUAUAACAAAGGAGUUUUCAAUAGUUAUAAAAUAGACUAACCCCAAAAUGCAUAACAACUUUUGUAUGUCAGAUUUUUCAUUAUCUAAUUAGUGCAAUUCAUGAACAAUAUUCUAUUUUCUAACACAAUAUACAAAAAUACUUCACCAAAUAUUUUGUUCACACACAUUCAAGUUUUGUGCACAUAAUUAGUAUUUCAUGAAAUUCAAAAAUUCUUCAUGACAUUUGAAAAUAGUUGAUCAAAUUCAUUUUUUUCACAACUUUCUAAUCUUUUUCACUAAAUUCACAAUGAUAGAGAAAAUCAUGAAAUCCUGAAAUAGCUAAACAUAAUCCAAAUGUUAUUCACAUUUUAGGAAAAUAGUUCAUCAAAUUCAAAUAUUAUUUUGGAAUUUAGUUCACAUUUUCAUGAAAUUCAAGAAUUCUCCAUGUUGUUCAAAAAUAGUUCACACAAAUUAAAAUAAAAUUCAUGAUAUUCAAAAGAAGUUCACGAAAUUGAAAAUUUGUUCACAACUCUCUAAUCUCUACACAAUAUACAAAUAAAGAUCUCCAAAUUCAAAGUUUGUUCCCAAAAUUUGAAUUUAGAUCAUGAUUUCAAAAAUAGUUCCCAAAUUUAAAUUUCAUGUGUGAAAUUCAAAAAUGUUCAUCAAUUCAUUUUUUCAUGAAAUUCAAAUUUUAUUAAUCACAUUCAAAAUAGUUCACCAAGUUCAAAUUUCAUUAAUAAAAUAAAAUUUUAGUUCAUGACAUUCAAGAUAGUUCAUCAAAUUCAAAUAAUACUCACAAUGUACGAAACAAGUUCAGCAUAUUAUAAUCUUGUUCACAAAAUCCGAGUUAAGUUCACGAAAUACAACAUAUUUGACCAAAUUCAAAUCAUGUUACAGAUAUUCAAAAUGAUUCACCAAAUUCAAGUAUUGCUCAUGAUAUCAAAAAAAACUUCAAUCAAUUCAAAUUUAGUUCAUGACAUUCAAAUUUACUUCACAAUAUUUAAAAAUAGUUCGUCAAAUUCAAAUUUCAUUUACUAUAUUGAAAACAAAUUCACUCAAUUCAAAUCUUGUUCACACACAAUCAAAAUCUGUGCACAAAUUUCAUAUUUCAUGAAGUUAAAAUAUUUCUUCACGAUGUUCAAAAAUAGUUCAUCAAAUUCAUGAAAGUUCAAAAACUUCAAAAAAAAUAUUUAUAAGUAAUCCAAAUAUUAUUCAGAAUAUGCAAUUUAUUUUACCAAAUUCAAAUUUCAUUCACGAAAUAAAAAAACAUCAAAUUCAAUAUUGUUCAAAAAUUUCAAAAAUAGUUCACCAAAUUCAAAUCUUGUACACAACAAUUUAACAGUGUUCAAACGUAGUUCACCAUAUCCAAAUUCCAUGCACAAUAAUCAAAAUAAGAUCACCAAUUUCAAAUCUUGUUCACCAUUUUCUUCACGAUGUCCAAAAAUAGUUCAUUAAAUUCUUGCAAUUUUUUAUAAAAACUUCACCAAAUAAAAAAACAAAUUCAUAUUUUGUUCACGAUAGUUCCCCAAAUUCAAAUGUUGUUCAUGGUAUUAUUAUUUUUAUCAAAUUCAAACCUUGCACCUUAUAUUCAGAAAAAAGAUCUCAAAACUCAAAAUAUUGUUCACAAAGUUUAGAAAAGUCGCCAAAUUCAAGUCAUGAUUUGAUAUUAAAACAUUUCACCAAAUUGGAAAAGUAUGACAAUAGUGUUCCCUAGUUGGUGCUUUAUAAGAGAAGAUGGAGACUCAAUAAAAUAAAAUUUGCAUAAAAGUAAAUAGAUAGGCACUUCGUAGAGAGAAGCAAAUAUUUGUAGAGGUGCCAAAGCUCGUAGCUUAAAUUCAGAGAUAAAAUUGUUUUGAGAGGCAUGCUUUUCUGUCAACGGAAACGAUCGAGAAUUCCCAAUAUCUUACAUGCUAGGUAAAUCAUAGGCGGUUCCCAAACAUAGAAUAAAGUUUAUUUUCUUUCCACUAUUCUUUCACAAUCCAUGGCUAGCCGUAUACACAGGUGCCUUUCGUACCAACACUUUCCAAGGAAUUUAUUAUGAACUACAUAUAUAUAAAAAAUCAUUUCGGGACUGGGCAUCCCUAUUACCCGCCACACUCUCAUGCAAUGACAAGUUAAUAAACACUCAUCUUGAUAAUAACAUACCCAGCAUGGAAAAAAUUGGCCACCCCCUGCCGCUUCAUGAGUGGUACGGGCACACAAAAAGGAAAUUCAUUUUGAAAAUUGGAGUUGGCACAUACAAAUUUACUUGGAACGGCAUGGAAAUACCGCAUAUAGGUAGGUAUGGUGGACUCAUUUGGCACAACUUGGUUUAGGAUUUGGAUGCACAAGUAGUAUUCCCUCUUAUUACAAGGAAAGGCUAGCAAAUAGAUUGAGAAGCAACCAACCAAAAAACAAAAAUGAUCAUAAAUGAGCAUUGAACAUAACUAACACAGAAUAAUGCACCACAAGUAGGAUGUAACAUCAUUGCAUAACUAUUGACGGAAUCAUAAACCUUAACACCAAUAUUCUUACUAAAGCACAGUUACUCACCAACAUGACUCACAUAAUACUAUCUCCAUAUCACAAAACUAUUGCAAUGAAUCAAGUUUUAAUAUCCAAUGAUCUUCAUGAAAGUUUUUAUUAUAUCCCUCUUGAAUAUCUAUCAUUUUGGGACCAAUUUCAUGUCUUAAGCAAAUUACCAUUGCUAAUAACAAGCUCUCAAAUAAAUUUAAGUGAAGCAAGAGAGCAUAAAUAUUUCUUCAAAAUUUUCUUCUCUCAAAAUUUUACUAACUCUCAAAAUAAUCUAAGUGAAGCAAGAGAGUAUUUCUCCAAAAAAUUGAACCACCACCGUGCUCAAAAUAUAAAUGAAGCACUAGAGCAAUUCCCUAGCUCAAAAAAUUUAAGUGAAGCACAAAGAGCAAUUCUAACAAAUCAUAGCAUCAUUAUGGCUCUCUCAAAUAGGUGUGUCCAGAAAGGACGAUUUAAAAAAGUACACCAGAUUCAAAAUACUAUUCAUAAAAUUCAAAUUUAGUUCACGAAAUUCAAAUUAAGUGCAUGAGAUCCAAAAAUAGUUUGCCAAAUUCAAAUCUUAUUUGUGGAAUUAAAAUUUAGUUCAUGGUAUUAAAAGAAUAUUCACAAAAUUCAAAUUAUGUGAAUGAUGACAAAAAAAGUUCUCCAUAUUUAAAUUUAGUUCAUGAUAUUGAAAAAGAUUUCACCAAAGUGAAGGAAUAUUCUACUUGUCUUUGUACUACGAUGUGUUGUAUCAUUUUGCUUAAUCAUAUAUGUACCUACAUUUUUAUCAAAAUGUUCCUUUCUCAUUCCGCAACCCAAUUCUAUAUUUCUAAAAAGUUUAUUAACGUAGUUGCUUCUUUUUUAUGGCGGGCAACUAGAGAAAAACUUCCACUGAACUUGAAAUAGUUUUCAGCAUCCUUUUUUAAUACUCCACUGUCAAACAACUAAACACAUAGAUAUUUUCUCCUUUAAAAAAUCCAGAAACUAUUUUUGUAUCUUUUCUUCAGCUACUAGAAACGAAGAAACAAAUAAAUUAAUCAAUUCAUAGUAAUGUAACACUAUGUUCAGCAACGUAUUUUGUUUUUUUAUUGUUCUACUCAUUCAAGAAGGAAAAUAGUCUUCGCGAAAAGAACAAGAAAAAUAAUAUCAGCAUGGUCUGGUCUGUAAAUAGAAAAACACCUACCUACCAUUGAAUGAAAUAGAGAAACAGAACGAAAUAGCACGACGAAAGACAGCGAAACAGAGAAUCACAGGUGGGCUUCCAGGAAGCAGCCCAGAACGAUCGCUAGUAGGCGCUUUAGCGACAACUCGGCGCUUAAGGUGCCAAGAGGAGGACUCUGCUCCGCCGCGCCCGACGACGAUAGACGUGUAAUUUGUAGGCGAUUUUUUUUUUUGAAAUCCUCCUCCACACUUUAUUAAACUAGUAUAGGAAGUUUAUCAGAAACAAUACUAAGGAUACAAUCUGGAGGAGAAAUUCCCCACGAAACCGAAACUUCAUUACAUAAACCAAAACGAGCAAUCUCAUGAGCCGCCUUAUUCGCUUCCCUCCGAACCCACGAGGUUUUGAACUCACCCAAGUUUGUGGCCAUCGUCUUGAUCUCUUCCACAAUGAUGCCAACAGCCGACAGGUUCCGGCCCUGCUCAUUCAGCAUCCUGGCGACGUUGAGGCAGUUGGUCUUCAGGUGGAGCUUGGGUACGUCUCUUUGUAGAGCUAAUUCUACCGCCCUCCGGCAAGCCAACAAUUCCGUCACUCCUGCUGUUGUAAUAUCCGGUAAAAAUAUAGCAUCCGCACCUCUGAAAGCUCCAUCUUCAUCUCUGAACACCACACCACUUCCUCCACCCUGUCUCACCCGAGACAUAGCUCCAUCGACAUUAGCCUUGAGCCAGCCUGAUGCCGGUGGUUCCCAUCUUGCACGUUGGGUGGGUGAUGUUCGAUGCCUCCGUUCGUCCUCGCACUUUCUUCCAUUCGUCCAUGGGAGCUGCUACUCUCCUCGCCACCAUGCUGGCCUCCUCAAUUCGCUUUCCAUCACGAGUGUCAUUUCUUGCCAGCCAAAGCGCAUAUAGACCCUGGACCAUCGCUGACUUGUCACCAUCUGAAGCAUCGGACAACCACUGUAGCAACCAGGAUGCAAUCGAACUCUGGGUGCUUACCGAUCGAGGUGGGGUCGCCACCCUCGCACCCAAUACCGAGCUCAACUCUUUCCAAAAAAGUGUGGAAUGAUAGCAGCCCCAAAAUCUGUGAUACAAAGUUUCUUCACGUCCACAGGCAGGGCAAAACACUCCGGCCUUGAUUCUUCUGCGUAGAAGUUCUGCCCCCGCCGCCAGGCCAUUCUUGAUCGGUCUCCACACAUGGAUCAACACCUUACCCGGCGCAUUGGAGGCCCAAAGUGCCAGCCACCUCCUGUGGUUCGCCGCCGUUGAGGAUGAGGCAGGCUGCCCUGCUCUCGCUUUCUUCUUUUGCAUGCACAGAUGAUAAGCCGACUUCACUGAAAAUUGUCCGUUCUUUGUAAAGUUCCAUGCCAAAGUGUCUUCUGUGCCCGGACCACCCACACAAAUCUGCAUAAUAUCCUGAACAUCAUCUUCCAUGAACAUAGUUUGCAGCUUGUGCCGAUCCCACCCUGUGGACUCGGCGUUUAGAAGAUCGCUCACCCUCGUUAUACCCGGUAUGUACACCUGGCCUAGUGGCCUCAGGCAACCUUUGCGAGGGAUCCAACUAUCAUGGUGGAUACGUAUGGAAGAGUCGUCGCCCACUCUCCAUAUAAGACCAUCCAGGAGCAAGUUCCGACCAUGCACAAUACUUCUGAAAGUAUAUGAUGCCCCACUCGGACAUGUCACAUUGAGAAUUGUACCAUGAUCAUAGUGCCGUUCCUUAAGGACACGCCCACACAGAGAAGACGGGACCUGCAAUAAUCUCCACGCUUGCUUGGCGAGUAAAGCUUGGUUGAAAGCUUCCAUAUCUCGAAACCCCAUCCCUCCCUCAUGCUUACUCUCACACAUUUUCUUCCACGCAAUCCAGUGAACCUUCUUCUCACCAUUUGCCUCGCCCCACCAAAAUUUUGAAGAGAUAGAUGUCAGGUUCCCGCACAAUUUCUUGGUGAGCUGGAAGCAACUCAUGGUGAAAGUUGGGGUUGACUGGAGCCCCAAUUUGACCAACACCUCACGAGCCUUCUUCGAUAGUCCUUGCCCCUUCCAACCCGUGACCUUACCCUUUGCACUCUCCUGGGCAUAUUUAAACGUACCCUCCUUGGAUUUCCCCACAGCUGUGGGCAGCCCCAAAUAUUUCUCUCCUAGAGCUUCAGAAUUAAUCCCGAUAACAGCCUUAAGUUGUUCUUUGGUGUCCUCAGUGCUCCCUUUCCCGAAGAAGAUAGAAGAUUUUUGCAAGUUAACUUUCUGUCCCGAGGCUGCCUCAUAGUCCCGGAGGAUAGUUUUGAGAGCAAGGAGAUUACUUUCAGAACCAUCAAGGAACACAAUGUUGUCGUCUGCAAAGAGGAGGUGGGUAACCAUGGGGCCAGUGCUCCCAAAAGACACCCCCUUUAUGUCACCAGAGCUUUGUGCAUGUUUCAGCAAUGCCGAGAAGCCCUCCACACAGAACAAGAACAAAUAAGGCGAGAGGGGAUCCCCUUGACGGAGACCCCUAGACGGCAGAAAAGAAUCCGAGAUCCCCCCCAUUGAGCUUCACCAUGAAUCUUGCCGACGUCACACCUCAUUAUCAUCUGAAUCCAUGCCUCGUGAAAACUAAACUUCUCCAACACCCUCUCAAGAAAAAUCCAAUCCACUCUGUCAUAUGCCUUCAUCAUAUCUAGUUUAACCGCGCACAAAGGCUUCUUCCUCUUCCUCAUCCUGAUGGCGUGGACACACUCAUAAGCCAUCAACACAUUAUCCGUGAUGAGUCGCCCCGGUACAAAGGCACUCUGUUCUUCUGAGAUCAAAACAGGAAGGAUUCCCUUGAGUCUAUUGGCCAGUACCUUUGUUGCAAUUUUGUAGAGCACAUUACACAGACUAAUUGGUCUAAACUGAGACAACAACUCCGGUGAGGUGACUUUAGGAAUCAUCACUAUAACUGUGUCGUUGAAACCUUCCGGUGUCGCCGCUCCAGCCAAAAACUCCUUGACCGACCUGCACACGUCCUCCUUAACUAACGACCAGUGUCGUUGAUAGAACAACGCCGGGAAGCCGUCCGGCCCCGGUGCCUUCGUAGGGCCCAUCUGAAAUAGAGCCGUCUCAAUUUCAGAGUCGGUGAUCAUGGCUGUGAGCUUCCAAUUCAUCUCCUCCGAGACUAGAGAAUCAAUGUGUUGCAGCACACUUGCCGCUGCAUUGGAGCCCUCGGAGCUGAACAAAGAAGCAUAAAAAUUCAAUGUCAUAGACCGCAUGUCAUCGUCAGAGGUACAGAGAGCGUACCAUCCUCCCUGCGCAGAGCCUUCACCGUGUUUUUUCUCCUACGAUGCAAAGCCUGAUUUUGGAAAUACUUUGUAUUUUGAUCGCCCCACUGUAACCAGUCAAUUCGCGAACGCUGUUUGUAGUAGAUUUCCUCCUUUUCGUAAAGAUCGUGAAGCUGACUCUCUAUAUCCUUGACCUCCUGGAAAUAACCGGUCACCAGCGCCCUUUCUUUCGCAUCUCUUAGCUGUGUUUUUAGCUUGGAAAUCUGUUUGCGAAGGGAACCAAACACUUCCCUACUCCACGACUGCAUGGCCUUGGUAAGGGUGCCCAGUUUCCCGCUCAUUCCCGCAUGCACCCCAUGUUGUUGCUUUGCUUGCUCCCAGGCCCUCACAAUCAUCUGCUCAUAAUCUUCGUGCCUUGUCCAUGCUUUUUCAAAUCUAAAAAACCGUUGCUUCUUGUGGCCCGCUGCAUCCAGUGAUGCCGCCGCUCUGAUGAACAGUGCCGCAUGGUCAGACUCCUCGGUAAGAACAUGUUCGACCGCCGCAUCCGGAAAGAGGUGCAAGAACUCGUCAUUGCAUGUGGCCCUGUCGAGCCGAACCUGAAUGGUUGCCCCCUCGUCUUGCUUAUUAUCCCACGUAAAAGGGUAACCAGUGAAACCCAAGUCCACUAGCCCACAAUCGCCAAGGCACUCCCGAAAAUCCUCCAUCUGGUAGAAGUUCCUAGGAUUGCCUCCAUUCUGCUCUGCUUGAAAAAGAAUCUCGUUAAAGUCCCCCGCACAAAGCCAAGGUAAAUUGUCUUGUCGUCUCAAAUAAUGAAGGGCAUCCCACGUUUUCCGCCUGUGCUCCGUCCUAGGUUCACCAUAGAUUCCAGUGAAUCUAACGGUUCUUCCCUCCGACAUGAUUUCCGCAUCAAUAUAGUACUGGCACCACGGUCUGAGUGUAACCGAAAUAUGGUCCCUCCACAAUAGAGCUAAUCCACCACUCCUUCCCUCACAAUCCACCGCAACGCCGUGACAGAACCCUAGACUCCAUUUGACUUUAUCCAUUGCUCGCGCCUUCUUCUUUGUCUCACACAGAAAAACCACCGCUGGGUUGUACGACCUAAUCAGGUCCCUCAACUCUCCAACUGUCGGGUUCAACCCCAAUCCCCGACAGUUCCAAAAAAGGAAAUUCAUUGCUCCCGGCGGCCCCAGCUGCCGGGGUCCACCGAUCUAGCUCCAUGAUCACCGAUCCUCUCAAAGACAGAUGACACUUUCUGCCGUUUUUCGCCAACGAGAGCAUCACCACCUUCCCUCCGAACUCCUUCUCCUACUGACACCCACAUUUGCCUUGAUGGUCUCUUCUUCUCCCUGGGAGCAUACCGAUAGUGGUCCUCUCGCUGCCGAGAAGAUCCCACAUCGCUUCUAGGCUUCCUGACAUAAUACCCCGGCCUCCUGUAAUGCUCCCUUGGUGCUUUCUCCUCCCUGCGUUGUUGCCCUUCUCUCUGGUCAUGACUCUUUCUCGGGGAGAUGAUACCUUCCCUCACCUUCUGAUGUAGCUCGUUUCUGAGGUGUUUCUCCCGUUUUUCCUCCAAAUCAUGACGUAGAUCCCUCUCCUUCGCCCCUUCUGCACCAGUGUGCGUUUUUUGCGGGCUCUGGACUUCUUCUUGCUCCCUCCCCUUCUGCUUUGGCCCACCAGUGUGGGAGUCAGCCGAGGGCAUAUAUUCUUUGUACAGAGAUCUGCGGGUUGGGAGGUCACGCACAAAUGCAUACCCUCUUAGUCCAUUGUCACCCCCACUUGACAUUGAGCUCUCUCUGCUUAUAUUCUUGCUGAAUGUUCCUUGCCACUGCUUCUUCUCCUGAUGACUCGACGAUGCUCUACCCGGCGAGGGCACGCAGCCAUUCUCCCCACUGCGACAGCGGAUCCACCGGUGCGUCACACACGCCAUCCACAUGCACAAGUCAUAAGGCAAGACAAUGUGCGGUACAUAUCGAGCGGUCUCCUACACACCUCGAUUGCUAGCAUGUGGGGUGGGACGGUCCAUUGGUGCACACCUCCGAUCGCUAGCUCCCAGCAUACGCUGGUACGCAUGAUUCGUGAUUUUUUUUUCUUUUAUUUUCCCCACUAUGUGGAAUUUAAAAAUAUUUGUGAAUGUUAAAAUAGUUUAUGGAUUAAAAAUGAUACUCCCUCCGUCUGAAAAAGCUGAUCCCAAGCUUGUUCCUCAAAUGGAUGUAUCUAGCACUAACUUGAUGCUAGAUACAUCAAUUUAAGGGACAAGCUUUUCCGGACGGAGGGAGUAAUAAAUUUGAGAAAAUGUUGAAUUGAAAAAUUGUUCUAGACUUCACAAGAUGUAUGUGAAUUUAAUAAACAUUCACAAAUUUUUAAAAUGUUCAAUUUUAAAAUUAUUUGUAAAUUUUAAUGUUUGUAAAUUUCAAAAUUCCACAAAUUAAAAAAAUUCUAGUUUGAAAAAGUGUUCGUGAAUUUAGAAAAUAGCAUGAAUUUCAAAAAAAAUGUAUUAAAAAAAGUUCAUGAAUUUGUAUUAAAAACAUCAUAAAUUUCAUAAAAGUUCACAAAUUAAACGCAAGCAUCACUGUCUCCCCACACAAAAGGGAUCCACAUGGCAGUGGUCGCACCGCCCAAGGAAACAUUCCCACCAUCCAAACCGACACGAAACGGUCUUUUUUUAUACACCUCGACCUGCAACAAUCGAUCGGUCAUCUCAGCGUUGCUCAUACCCGCUGCCCACACACCAUACACAGUAGUGUGCAAGCACGCGGUCGUCUAAGAGCAUCUCCAAUAGGCGCGCAACGCGCGGCGCGCUAAAAAACAUUUACACCGCUGGAAUCGUGAGUUUUGCGCGCCGCGGAGCGCUGGCUCCAGCGGCCGCUGCAAAAUAUAGCGCGUGCGAGCCGCUCCAGCAGACGCGCUAAACUGCAUCGCGCGCGAGCAGGCGGCGUCUGCCAUAUGUUGCAUUUUGGAGACAAUAUGGUGAUAUUUCAAACAUCAAAACAACACAUAGCAUAGUUUAAAAAUCACCCAAACAAGUUCAUGACAAGUUCAAAAUUAUGCCACAUCACAUCAUCAUCCAACUAAGUUCAAGAUCAUGCAACCAAGUUCAUGACAUAAAAGUUCACACAAACAAAUGGCACAUCAACAAUCAUGCCUCAUCAUCCUCAUCUCCGUCAUCCUCUUCCUCCGAUUUUUCAUCCUCCGAAGACGAUUCUUCCUCCUCCUCUUCAUUGUGUCGCGCCGCAUCAUCAUUGGGAUCUCGGUAGCUGUUGGCAAGAUCUCCAACGGCAUCAUGCGAAGGUAGGUGAGGCACACCGAAAGACAUGCGUUCACCCAUGUCACCCGGAGGUGCUCACAUGCCUCCCAUGAGUGACGCAAAACUCAUGCCUCCCAUGGUAGCUCCGAAGCCACCCAUGUCUCCCAUGGCCCCCAUGGUAGCUCCGAAGCCACCCAUGCCUCCCAUGCCGCCCAUGGUAGCUCCGACGCCACCGAUGCCUCACAUGCCGCCCAUGCCACCCAUGCCACCCAUGCCUCCCAUGCCGCCCAUGCCAACCAUGGCUCUCUUUUGGACCAAGACUUCUUCACGGGCAAGAUUGACGUACUCCUUUUGCUUCUCAUCGAGGGUAGAUGUGCCCAUGAAGAACAAGUACUUCUCCCAUUCCAACAAUCUAGUUCGCUCCUUCAUGGCCAAUUUCUUCUCCUCCAACGACACCUUCCUCUCCUCGGGCGCCACCCUCCUCUCCUCGGCCGCGGCAUCUUGGUUCCUUGCCAUCUUCCUCACCUCGUUCGCUUCCUUUCUUGCGUUCACAAUAACUUCCAUAGCAUUUUUUAGCUCGUCAUCUCCUUUCCCCUUCUUCUUUUCUUUUCCGUCUUUCUUGCAUCCAUUUGGUCUUUUUGGCUUGGAGUACGCAACCGAGUUUGGUGUAGGGCUUCUCUUGCCGUCGUCACUUGAUGUCUCCUCCUCAUCAUCAUCCAAAUCAAUAGUUCGCUUGCUUUUGUUGCUCACCUCAUCAUCGACACCAUCACGGGCUUCCAUUUCUCAUCAUCCUUCAACGCUUCAUAGCAAUGAGGCAAGGUAAAUGGUCUCCCUUUCUUGACCUUCCCUUUCUUGGUCUUCUUCUCCUCUCCUUGAAAUAAGUUUUGUGCAAUAGUGAGCUACAAACAAAAGAACAAGUUAGCACUUGAAACACCAAGAAAAAGCAUGAUGAACAUGAAAGAAUCAUGAAAGAAAUUGCACUUACCCUAUCUCUGUCAUUAGUGCCACUUGGGUUCAACGUGUCAACCGCCUUAAGCGCGGCCGCCCACCUUUGACAAUCUCGGUUGAUUGUCGACCACCGGGAGCGAAGAGAUCUUCCCGAGCGGUCAAUUCCACUUUUGUUGUGUAGAUCAAAGUGAUCCUUCAUCCGGAGCCAAUAUGCAUCUCUACUUUGAUCCCCCUCCAACGGCGGGAUCCCUCGACACUUGCAACCAAAUAUUGCAUAGCAAGAUAUCGCCGCCGCAUCCGUUGCACGCCCUGCAAGCUUCUUCUUGGUCGCCUAGAGGAGCCGUCCGCCGCCUUGUUCUUCUUCCCGGACACCUUGCCCGCCUUCGCCCGUGCCGCAUUUGGGAGCUUCGAGAGGGGGGCUCGUGGCUUCAUGGCGGGCGUCGGCGCGACGCCACCCACCGCCGAGGUUGUCCGUGGCGGCAUGAAAAGGCCGCGCGCGAUACCGGUGCUUGAAGGAACACCGGCGGAGGCGAAGCCAAAGCUCACUCCCCGCGCUAGGGUUUGCGGCGGCGGCGGCGGGGUCGUGGGCGUAGGAAGGGGUGAGGGGGAUGUCGGCGCGUCCGUCCAUCGGACGAAUUCGCCGGCGUCGGCGCCGGCGCUGGCGCUCGAGUGUGCAGCGCGCGAAAGCGGGCGCACGAAAUAAGCGGCGCGCGAUGCCGUUUCGACCCGCGGCUGAACUACUUAUGCCGCGCGUGCGGUUUUUUCGCCUCCGCUGGAGCGUCCGGAGCGGUUGCGCGCGCACGCUAAAAACGCAAUUUUUUCAGCGCGGCGCUUAUAUAGCACGACUGUUGGAGAUGCUCUAAAGCAGCAAAGAACAACGCCCGCAAAGGCAUGGCACGGGAGAAAGGCCCACACAGCAGACUCGGGAAAGGCAUGGUCCGCGUAAUGUUUUUUUUUGCAAGAUAAAAGAGUUUUAUUGCUUACUUAAGCAGGCAUACAGUCACGAUACAACGUGUUCAUUAGGAAAACAGGAGUGUAAUUAAGCCAUAAACGUCUCCUCCUAACACUUGUCGCCUGCUUCGCACAUAAGUGAGCCGCUUCAUUAGCUUCUCUACGUACGAAUUUCAGCCUAAAACUCUCAAAUUGAUCAGAAAGCUCCCUGGUCUCUUGAAGAAUGCCAGCUAUCUCCGAACGAUCGAAGGUAUCUGUCUCCCACAACUUAACAAUAGCUUGAGCAUCAGUUUCCACCUCAACUUUGCUGAAACCUCUCUCAGUAGCCAUUCGAACCCCAUCUCGAAUUGCUUCUGCUUCCAUGGACUGUGAGCUAGCUGCAAAAUUAUACCAAAGGGCUUGUGCACGAAGUAAUGCACCCUCCCUAUCCCGAAUAACCAGCCCAGUCGAACCUUGACAGGAAAUAUCAUCAAAGGAUGCAUCUACAUUAAUCUUCAUCACGCCUUCAUCAGGUGGAUUCCAUUCUAUUUGUUUUGAUUGCUUCGGCUUGCUUACUAUUCCAGCACUUGUUAAGUUCAUUACCGAGUCUAUCACCCAUCUUACUGAUUGCAUGAUAGAGCGCCCAGACUCUCCAUGCUUUCUUGCAUUUCGUUCAGUCCAGAUCGCCCACGCUCCACUUAAAAUUAUACAAGCUUCAGACUGGGGUAUCUUUGUACCAUCCACCACAUCGAACAUCCAGGAGUGUGGGUGUAGGUCAGGAAUUUUUAUGCCAGUUAGGGACUUCACCUGCUCCCAGAAGAUCCUUGCCCAAGUGCAAUCAAAGAUAGCGUGCAUUGUAGUUUCCUGUUGACCACAAGUGUCACAGAAAUCAAUACGCUCCAUGUGUCGUCGCUUCAAAACGGCACGGCAGGGUAUAAAGUCAUGGAUAAUACGCCACCAGAAAUUCUUCACCUUGGGAGGGACCUCAAGUUUCCACAUUUUCUUCCAUACCUUUUCCUGAUUGAUGCUAGACCCGGGCUGGUCAGAUUGACGACUUUUAGAGACAAGAACUCUAUAUGCCGAUUUCACAGUUAAAUGACCAUGUUUUUCUGGUUGCCAAGCCCAAAUAUCCUCAGCUGAAUUACUAAUAGGAAUCCUGCAUAUUACACUCACAUCCGGUUCCACAAAAUUUGCAUUAAUCAAACUAGUACAAAUGCCCGUGCGUUGCAACGGGAGAAACAAACUCUUGCACACCAUUGGCGAAUCAUCUGUGCUCUCACUUCUUCUCUUUGUCAUCAUUGUCGAAGACAGUCACUUGCCCACAUAUUACAACAAAAUAGUCUCAAGGCGGUGAUCUUGGUCAACACACUCACCAUGCCGAUUUCGCGAGCCCCCACCUAUACCAGCUUGUUAUUCCUCGUGCGUUGAAACCGUCACGUACAUAUUCAUGUGGUUCAAAACUUAUCAUGUCAUAACAUAUCAGGCGAUCCAUUUUCUUAUUAAGCAUGCACAAUAGUAAUUUUUAAUGCAAAUUAAAUUAUGGUGUGAGGCCAUUAACUUAUUGACUCAACAUAAACCAAAUACACUUCGCUAUCGCCACCGUCCACCUACUUCAUCUCUAACAUGAACUUGGGCAUCUUUUCCAGCAGCGAACUAUGUCAUGUCGUUCCACUAUGACUAUCGAACCAUAGUUUUAAAAACCGAACCGGAGAGGCUAACUGUUAAGGUUCUCACCUGUUGGACUGCCGGUUCAUCUAUUCAUUCAUGUCAAAAAUGGGAAUAUUAACGUUAUAUAUAUUUUUACCAUAGAUCAAAUGAGUACACAUAAUAUUGGAUGUAAUCCAUUAAAAAACUCACAAAGCGUUGGUGCCCUAGAUGGUUGUUGGUCCUUUGGGGUACAUGGGCUCAAGGUCAACUGGUCGAUCCAAAGUUGACGCACUAUUUUACCAAUAUUUCCCGGUCAUAAAAAACAGGCAAAGCACCGGUUUCUUUUUUUUUCAUUUUCAAAUGGAUUUGGACGUUUGUAUUUGAGCUCGAAAUGGUAAUUUGGUAUUUGAUAGGAUCCAAUUCACUGUUUGGUUGUGUUCUGCAUAAAUAAUAACUCAUUACAAAUUAUAAUACCUCACAUGAGACCCAAAAAAACAUUAUCAGGAGAUUCAAAAGCUCCUCCAUGAGCCAGGUCAUUUUUUGAUGCAUUAGCGUGUACAGGUGCAUGUACAACCAAUGAUGCAUGGCCCCAUAUAUUUAAUCCGCCCUCUCUCACAUCUGCCUAAAAAAAUUCCAUACGUAGAGUGAAAUUUUAAUUUCUUCUUUUAAUUCCCAGCAAAAUUAAUCUCUUCUUUAAUUCCUUCCCUUCAGGCAUGCCUCACAUAUAAUAGCGAAAUUAAUUCCUUCUUUUAUUUUUUUUUCCUUUAAUUCCUUCCCUUCCUGCCUUCAUAAGGAGGGAAUUUAUUCCUUUCUCUAUUUCCUACCGUCAAUUUCAUUUCCUUCCUUUCAGCUCAUAACAGCGGAAUCUAGUCCUCCUUUUAAUUCCUUUCCUUCAUGCUCAUAUUUUAGGACCCACUCUUUGAGACGGCUUGUUGACUUCGAAUCAUAGACAUAUAUAAAUUGGUUGGAGGAGGUGUAAGGAAGCCGUGUGGGACAAUUUAAUAAACGAACGAAUCCAUUUUUUCUGCGCAACCAUGAUGUAGCCUAGUGGAGUUGGCCUUUCCUGUUUACCUGUAGGUCAACAAGUUCGAUACCUCAAUGUGUAAUUUUUUGUCUCUCCUCCCGGCUUGCCUGGGCCCUUGGAUUCGAUUCGGUGGGCUGAGGCCCAUGCAGGUGAUGUGUGGGCUGAGACAGAGAGGCGUGAUUGAGUGAAUCUGGCGCUAUGUACUAAGGGAAAACGCGACAGACGAAAAUUUGUGCAAAAAAAUUUAAUACCACCUUGAAUAAUAAAAAAUUUAAAACAAAUAUGGGUGAACGGAUGAAAAAAUAAGCGAAACACACCUUGCUUUAUUAGUAGGUAUAGAUAUAGAUUUUGAUGCAGAGUCGGACAAGGUUAAGACCUGCCCUUUUUUCAGUCGUACAGGAAGGGAUUACUGAGCCGAAAUACCCAGCGGGGCUAGCGAGGCGUGGGAUAGCCAGGCGUGGAAGAAAAAAAACAUGAUUUCAACCCUGUACGAUACGAAGGAGGACUGUAUAUAUUUUUGGCAAACUAUAAAGGCCCACAUGAAUAAUUUUGGCCCAUAUAUAUGUAUCUGUACGAUACGAUACAAAGGAGGCCCAGCACCAGCAACGGACUUAAAAUUGCAGCGCAGCAACGGACUGAGAUAAGCGUUUAGUACCACCUCGCCACCUUGUAAGUGACCAAGCCACUUCGUACGUGACCAAAAUAACGGUAAAAAAAACUAAUCACGAGACGAAACCAAGAAUAUCACCUUGUUUUAAUAGUAGGUAUAGAUUCAUAUUCCAUUCAUCAUUGUCUGCGUCAAUCAAUUCUUCCACCCUACUGAUAGCUGCACCAGGAAGCUGAACUAGGGGUUUGAAACCAUGGUUAAAAGGAAUCCAUGGAUCCUCCCAUGGGUGAAUAGAAGAACCAUCACCAACCCUCUUUAUCAGGCCUAAUUUUAGACCCUCUCGGCCAUGAAGAAUGGCUCUCCAAAUAUGCGAAGAUCCUCUUUUGUUCUUAGCUGACAUAAAUUCAUGAUCAUAAUAGUACUUACCCUUUAAGACUCUAGCGCAUAGAGAAUCUGGUGAUGUAAGCAACCUCCAACCUUGUUUCGCCAGCAUAGCCUGGUUGAAUAAUUCGAAAUCCCUAGAACCCAUCCCUCCUUCUCCUUUAGGUAUUGCAAUAUCCUUCCACUUCUUCCAAUGGAAAGUCUAAAGCAGCUCAUAGAAUAAGUUGGGAUAGCUUGGCAUACCGCUUUAAUCAAAACUUCCCUUGCCCCACUGCUUAAGAGUUUAGGAAAAGUUGUCCGCGUAAUGUUAAAUCACAUUGGUUUUCGAUAUUGCAGAGUACUACACAUGCAUGCGUGCUGUUUCAGCCUAUACGUUUGCAUGCACAUUUACUUUGAUUUUCGAUAUAGUAUUAGCUUGAGAAUACAUAUGCAUGCAUGUAGGGUGUGACGAAGCACGUGGAUCACAUGGAUGUAUACAUGGAGUAGGCGGGAAAUCGGUUGUUGCAACGCCGAUCUGACCGUUCCUCAACCGUGUACUCCCCAACCACUGUGCACUCCCCAACCGCAUCCGUCCUCCCGAAGUCCCGAUCGAUUAAAUCAACGCCAAACCAAAGUAGAGAAGCAAUGCAAUUAUAACGACACCAAUCCCCAGUAGAGUAAUCGUGGCGGCAACCGAAUUCGGCUUGAGCAUAUUCUCUGGUGCGUAUACUUGGUUCAUGCAAUUGAUUAACAGCUGACAUCGCGAGCUAGCUAGCACUACUAGCAGUUCGACCGCAGCAGCUCGCUCCGCAGUUAAUGGCGACCACCGUGUCCGGGUCGGCGCUCCGGCGGCUCUACCUCUCCGCCUACAACUGGGUCGUCUUCUUCGGAUGGUAAUUAAGUAGCGCAACGGCCUUGGGUGCAUAAUGGAGCGGAUCUCUCUGGUUUCUCGCUCCGUUGCCCGUGAAGAAUGAAGAUCUCUCUGGUUUGCAGGGCGCAGGUGCUGUGCUACGCGGCCUCGGCGCUGCUGGAGAGCGGCCAUGAGGCCGUCUACGCUGCCGUCGAGCGGCCGCUGCAGUUCGCGCAGACCGCAGCCUUCAUGGAGGUCGCUCUCGUGUCUCUCUCGUCUCUUAGCAGCUCCUUUCUUUCUUAAUUAUCAAAGUUACUAACUGAACAUCUUGAUUCCGAUGGCACGUCUUCUUGCUGGCCGUCCAGAUUCUGCAUUCGAUUCUAGGUAACUAGUUUCUUCUUUCUCUUGCUUCCACAUUAUUCAACAUUCGUCAAUCUCGUGCAGUGUAAGUAUGUAUGUGUGUGUGCAAGCUCUUUUGUAAACGGGUUUUGUCUCAAAAAUCCUUCAAAAUGGGACAUCAAAUAUAUAUAGUAUGAAAAUAUAUUUAUAAUGAACGUAAUUUGGUGAGUUUGACUUAGAACAAACAGAAAACUUAAGUAAUUUGGAAGAUGGAGUAGUAUCGUUUCAUUUGCUCUUGUGGUUACCGUUCAUUCAAAUUACUAGUAUACACUAUAAGGCACUCAUGGCAACUUAUGAACUUGCAUGGUGUGAUCACCAAACUUUGUUGUUUAUUGAGAUGAAUGUCCAACUGUUAAAAGGGUUUGUGAAGUCUCCGAUUUCGACAACUCUUCCACAAAUCACUGGAAGAUUGUACAUCACAUGGGGCAUCUUGUGGAGCUUUCAAGAGGUAUCAUCUGGCUCUCCUCCAUAGUUACCAAGCCUUUGACAUUUUCAUAUAAUUAGAAACACAAAUUUAGUUUUAGUUUCUCGGGAAUAGAUUGAUUAAUUGGUCGCUUUGCACAUCUAACCCUUGUGCAGGCGCAAUCUCAUGUUCUUGUAACUUCAUUGAUCAUAAGUUGGUCCAUCACUGAGGUACACACGUGGCCAAGGCAUCAUUAGUUUAUAUAGAAAGGGCGUAUUAAGUAUGAGAUCUAAAUUGAUAGUAAUCCCUACAAUUCUUCAAUCUAAACACAAAUUCCCCUGUUGAGCUUUACUGAACUGGGAUUUGCAAUAUUCUUCACUUUAAAUGUGAUGUUACAAUGAAAACAUGUUGGUUUGCUUGCAGGUCAUCAGAUAUUUUUUCUUUGCUAUGAAGGAGACAUUUGGGUUUGCACCUUACUGGCUCCUAUGGCUUAGGUAGGUACUAGUCAUAUUUCAAAAUUGCACCUUCCAGACCCCUAGUCCUAUGGCUUAGGUAGGUACUGGUUAUAACAAAAGAAUGAAAUUUUGUUUAACAAAAACUUCUAAAUAAAUCUAGUAUGUUUUUAGUAAAUUGCUCUUAAAGCCACUAGCUUUAUAGUUUGUGCGCCAAUUUAUUUCCAGGUAUAGCACCUUUCUGGUGUUCUAUCCUACCGGCAUGUUAAGCGAGGCUGGCCUAAUCUUAGUUGCCAUGCCCUUUAUGAAGGUAACUCAAAUUAAUAACUACAGAUGGAAAUGGUUUCAUGUUGUUCAUUUGAACAGUCUUGUUUGUUACAUAUGCUCUGAUAUUUGGGGUUUGCCUCAGACGUCAAGGAAAUACUAUCUUAUGAUGCCUAAUAAAUGGAAUUUCUCCAUCGACUACCGCCAUGAAUUGGCUCUUGACACGGCUCUAAUCAUACCAGGUGCAAUACUCCUUCUCGACAUUAGCCUUCAUUUUGCAACCGAAGUGAUAUUUUUUUAGCAACCAUCAACAGUGGUGUAUUUCCACUAAAGAUAAUAUAUGUAAUUAAGUAACUAUAAACAAGGGUCCAUGUUUACAUGGGCAGCAUUCUUAAAACCCCUAUCAUACACCUAGUAACAACUUUGUGAAGAUGUGCUACUCUCUUGGGUGUUGUGCCAAAGGUGAUGGCCCUUCUUGUUAAUGGCCACUAAGGACAGAUGGACCACUUUGGCAUAGGUUAGUCUCUGCCUAAUAAAAAUUCUUCUAUUUCAACCAUUCUAGACACUCCACAUGACGUAUGGAAACCGACCACUUUUCUUGUGUUUGACUCUCUUGUCGACUCACAGCAAUAUGGCAUCUCAACAAUUCACAUCCGAGGUGGAAGUUCCCAAAUAUUGAGCUAUUGGGUUCUCAUAUAUAGUCUAACAAUUUGUUGACCAAGAGCUAUAUAUCCUUGGAAGGGUCAAUCCUUACAAAGAUGGAUAAUUCACUGGGGCCCUUUUGCGUGGGGAUCUUUCAAUGUAGAAUUAGCAAGAGAGCAAAAUGUGAUUGGUCUCCCCAUGAACCUUCCACCUCUUCUGAACUUUGAACAUGGGACUGAACCGCCUAAGCCAAAAUCACUGUGUCCCCACAUUCAUUGUUUAGAGGGUGAAUCUAACAUACUUAGCUGAAAUUAUAAGGAUGUUGAAUUAGGUGUCUUUGUGCAUAGAUAGAGGUAGAGCCACAUAUAUUAUGCACAUAAUGGUGUUAAUUUUUUCAGUAAAAAAAUGUGUAAUUUAACAAGAUAAUGCUUUUUUUAUCUCGUUGCGUUUGCAGGAUUUCCGUACUUGUUUCGUUAUAUGGUGGAUAAGCGGAAGAAGGUCUUGUUAGCAGCAAAGACAGUAUGAUACUGUAAUUGCUUCUUGUGCAAUCAUGUUGAGAAAGAGGGAAUGUGGAAUACUAGAAUAAAAUUAUUUAAACCUUGAAUCAUGUUUUGUGACAUUCACUGACCGCUAGCUUCAAACUUCCUCAGCAUCUCAUACAUGCAAUCUCCGGUUUGGAUGAUUCUCAAUCUUUUCCUUUCCGUCUCAAAAAGGGAAAUUGAUCCCUCACAACCGACUGUAACCGAGCGCUUCAUCCGCCGCCUCUCCUUCCAACCACGUGUCUAGGGUGAGGGGCUAUAAAUCAUUUGUGGCAUUUUCGAUUUCGCGAGCGAACACGCCCACCGCGAAGCCAACAUGACGGCCAGUCCAUGUCGUGCUCCCGCCUGUGUUUCUUCACCUGACUACGCCUAUGGCUGCAUGCCAUUGACACUGACUUGUCAUUUCUAGUAGUAGUACCUAGUUGAUAUAAUACGUACUCAACAAGAAACUGAUGCUAUUCAUCUAAAAAACUGCUACUAUUUUUGUAACUCACAAGAUACUGUACUAGGAGUAGUGUUAGCUAGUAUAUGCUGCGUAUUUAACCACAUUAGCUAAAUGUCAGUCGACUGACUUCCAAAUUUGGGGUUAGUCGAUUUUGAGAGUUCGCCGGAGUGAGCCGAAAGGAAGGAAGGAGAAGGGAGGGGCUCGCCGGAGGGCUACCCCAUUAUCUAUCUUAGGUUUAGGGUGGGGGCGAUGGUGGACAGCGGCGGUGGGAGCGGUGGUGGGCUUCGCCGGAGAAAAAGCUGGAUGUGGGUUGGGCUAGAGGGAUGGUCGGGGGUGGCGGCAAGACCGGCGGUGGGGAGCAGUUCCGGGGAGGACGGAGCGGCAAGGCUGCGCGGGAGCGCCGCCGGCCAUGGGUGGUGGUCGCAGGCGAUUCGGCCGGUGACCCAUGCUGCGGUGGCAAGACCGGGGAGCAGUUCCGGGGAGGGCAGGGUGGCGAGGCUGGGCGGGAGCGCUGCCGGCCGCAGGUGGUGGUCGCGGGCGGUUCAACCGGUGACCCGUGCGAUGGCCUGGGGAAGAAGAAGAAGGGUUGCCCACCGUUCGAUAUGCAUCCAACGGCCAAAAAGAUAGAGUGGCCCAAAUUUGAAAAUCAGGCAACUGCCAUGUAGCCAUUCCCGCAUUUAACAACAAUAAGCACUCUUAGGGCUAAUCUAUCUUUAGGCGAUAUUGCAAGCCAGAAUGCAUCGCUAUCAGGCCGACGCCCCCAAUGCAAAUGUUGGUCGGUGUUGAGGCACUACCAGUACAAGCCAUUAGGGCAUGGCCAAUGGGUGGCCUCAACCUGCUGCCCCGCAGGUCCACGUAGGAUCGGAGUUAGGUUCGGACUAAAAGGUAUAGCCUCGCACUAGCAGGUGUAGCCUGCAGAAGAGCCGGCCUCUUCGGUGUGAAAAGCGAGAGAAAGAAAGAAAAGGGCAGCUCUGCUGAUGCAUGCAAGGAGAGAGAUAGAGAGAGGAAGAACAAAUACUACGCAUGUGAAGGACGAUGGGUUCCGCUACAGCAGUGUGGCUACGGUUGGCCAGAAUUUUUUUCAAAAUGGUGGCUUCCUUACUUUUUGAUUAGUUUAAGAGUUGAGGCAGUACUAGGGUGAUGCCCCCAUUGUACUUGCCCUUACACGGUGUGACACUGCAAGGUUGACGUCGUCUCUACUACAAGCAGGACCCGUGGGCCUAGGAAGGCUCGUCUUCAUUGCUGGAAGCCAGGACGCAAAACUGCAAAGCCGGUGACGCCGCCGCUACAAGCCGAGACAUGAUGUGACACUGCAAGGUCCACAUCAUUCUACUACAACAGGAUCGUGGUCGUGGCACUACAAAGGUUGGACGGCAUUGCUGCAAGGCGGGGCACAAUGCUACGAGGACGACGACGCUGAUGCUCCAAAGGCUAGUUGCCACAAGUCAUGAUGUGACACUGCAACGCCGACAUCACUUGCACAAGUCAGGUGUGACGUUGCGUGGCGGCGCCAUAACUGUUGCAAAUGCUUGCCGAGAUGCAACACAACGAGGCAAUAUUGCCGCUCCAAAUGUUUGUCGUCAUUUGUGGCAAGCCAGGAGGCAACAUUGUUAAGAUAAUGUCAUCGCCGACACAUGGCGUGACGUUGCGAGGAUGACGUAAUAUAUGUCACAAAUACAUAAGCGAUAUGGUGCGAUCACCCAUGUAGUGUAUGUGCAAUUUUGUGUCGUGGUGCAAAUAGUUUUCACGGUAUUUCGGGCCGCACAAGAUUGCAAGGCUGGCCAGUGUUGUUUCAAGUCGAGACGGGACGCCCAAGGUUGGGCACCGCCGCUAGAAGCAAGUCAUUUGGCGUUGAAAAGACUAGUCGGCGAUGCCGCAAGCUGGGAUGGGACACUGCAAGGUCGGGCGUCACCGUCAUUUUCUAGUUGGUGAUGCUGCAAGCCAAGACGCGGUGUUGUGUAGGGUGUCGCCGCCAUUGCUAGUCAGUGAUGCUACAUUACAAUAAAUCCAGAAAUAAUGCAAGCAACAAUCUCAAGUCUAUAACUUAUUUCAGCCUUCCGGCAAUGUUCGUUCAGUAGGAGGAGACGUUCCCGUCGACUGUGAGAUGUCUGUGCUGACUUCGUAAAAUCUGAAGAUGUCAUGCAGGCUCAGUCUCUCGGAGAUACUCAUAGGGGCACGAUGUGCAUGUGCAUUCAUAAGAAUGAGUGUAUGUUUAUGUAUGUGAUCGACUUCGAUUGCACUAUGUUCAAAAGAAAUGUCACAGUAGGUAGUAGGUAAAUGAAGCAGACGCAAUGCUACCAGCUAGUACUAGUCAAGAGAUAGAAGACGUGCAUGGUCGGGUCCGACCCCGGUGAAGAACUUUUAGCAGUGCGGGUCACACGGACGACACGAAUAGUCAGUGAUUAGACUAUGCCGCGCAUCUGCACAGAAGCUGCGGCUAGAGACGUCAGACCAGGUGCGAUCAGACGGCAGCCGAACCGGCUGAACCAGUACGUAUAUAGGUGUACCCAGAAAAUAAAAAUCCGACUGGAAAGGUGUUGAAAGAAAGAAAAGAAAAAGGAAAACACUCCCUUCCAGCCGGCUGAUGGCUCCCUCAAAUCAACCGGGUGUCACUACACCACAACACCAAUGCAAUGGCACAUAAUCUGCCGGGAGAACACCAUUAAGAAGGCAGAUAAACUGCCGCGAGAGAGAUUUUCCCGGCAGAUAGAACUGCCGCGUCAACGGCUGCCAGGGAUUACUUGUCCCGGCAGAUAAAUAAUCCCCGGCAGUUUUUCUGCCCCGACCAUUUUAUCUGCCGGCAGUUUACUUUCACCCGGCAGACUCAUAGUGGCUAGCAACUGCAGUUUACCGGCAGUUUCACUGCCUGCACAAGCACAUUUACCCGGCAGGUAAUAUGCCAUCACGUGCUUUUUCACAAGCAAUCAAAAUUAUUCUGUGUGCAAUAUCCCUGAUUAAAUAUCCAAUCAUUAUGUUCAAACAGUCAGGACAGAUCACACAACUUACACAUACGUUCAAUCAGAUUACAUGUAAGACCUCAUGCAAUAACAUAAAUAGACCAAAAACAUAUGUUUUUAACACAUGCAUGAACCGUACAUAUAUAGACAUUAUAUGCCUCAAAAUGCAAAGUACAUAUGUUUAAGGUAAAGAAAUCGUGCCACGCAACCAAAAUUGGCAUACAAUGGCUUGUCUGCUGAAACAACCACCAAAAUGAGCAGUGUAAAACUUGUCAAUAUCUGGAGGUUCAACAAACAAGACAUAUUACAUAUAUAUCAUCACUCCAGCAACUUGUCAGACCUUCAAAACCUCCAGCAACUUGUAGAUCUUCCAAACCUCCAUCAACUUGUGUAUCUUGAGAAGCCUGCAACAAAUCGGAAACUCGGAAAAUGGUGCUAUCGUUUCAGAUUUUAAAUCAACAUAUUAAAGAUUUUGAUGUGCUGCAGUUUAACGUCAGCAUAUAACUCUUCUGAAUGUUAUGCACUUCAUCAUCACAACAAGUAGUGAUUAUUACGUACAUAAUUAGAUCAAGCAGAAAUUAUUUGCACUUCACAUACAAAAAUCUUCCAUGGGCAAAUAUGACAAAACAAGAAUGUGUAACAUUGUUGCUUGCUUCACUAAACUGUAUAGUCCAAGCUCACCCAAGAAAUAGAUUGCACUAAUUUUAUCAGUAAACUUUCAGAUCUGAUAUGAAAGUCAACCUAGAACAAAAGAAAGAAUCCACAAAACAAAUUUGAAAAACCAGAGGACUGUACAGCAAAAAAUCAAAGUUGAAGAUGCAUAUUACCUCCUCAACUUGCUUGUGGUCACAUUACUGCAUUUGCUAGACUUAUCCACUUGCAGCUGCAUACAUACAAGCAGACUUUUAAGGUGUAAAAAUAAAUUGAGAGCAAGCAUUGAGCAUGCAAAAAAAAUUGUAACCACCCAAGCCAGGGUAAAAUUUUGUGCCUGGCCAAAUAUUGGCAUCGUGGAUCUGGGCACAAAACAAGCACAUUGAUAGAUCAUUAAUGCGUGAUAUGGUCAAGAUUUUACAUACCUUAAAUUAGUCUUUCAGCUGCUCUAUGAGGCCCAUAACAUGAGGGAUGAUAAUUUGGAUCAGCGGAAACUGUUCAGGGAUGCCAAAAGAAUCUCGAGACAGUAAAAUGUAUCAACUCAGAGGUAACUGGCAAUUUAGAGGCAAGUGCAUUAUUAACAAGCUGCUAACAAAAUUCUGAGAACAAAGGGUGUAUCUUAGGUUUAACUGAAUGCAGACAUUCACAGUAACUAUGGUGGCCUUGGUCAAGCAUAUUGCAAAACAACACCUAUCUGAAACUAGCUGAAAUCUAGUUAAGUGUUAACUGAUUUUGCUGGUAACCAGAAAUCUGUUUGUAUGAAGAAACUUGUUGAAACCUAGUUAAGUGUUAACUGAUUUUUCUUGUAACCAGAAACCUGAAAUUGGCUUUGACUGGAACUAGUUGAAAUAUGAAGCGCAAAACUUGUAGAAACCCAUAUAUCCCAGUUCCAUAUGUGUUCCCUGGAAACUCCCAGAUUUUUAAUGACUUUGAGCGAAUUUGCGUGCCGGAGGAUAUGGGAACAGAAUUGAUAGCAAAGUUUGACAGGAACCUGCGUGAAUAAUCCAUUAAUCAUCGUGCCCCGAUCGAUCGGUUCGGUACUCGGUUUUGCACCGAACAGGCCGAACAGUUGGCGGGAUGUGAUGGCGGGAUGGGAUGGCUGCUAUACUUUUGUCUCGGCGGGGCUAGAUAACAACACGUGUUAUGCUCAAAGAAAAAAAAUACAUGAGGUGAGCGAGACAACAGGCAACAACAAACAGUACCUAGGUUCACUAAAAAAGCUGGCGGGCGUCCUGUACAUGUGACGAGAAUCAGGGGGCCAGCCGGCCAGCCUACGGCACUGUUUUCCACUCAUCAUAUUAACGCGCCAUCCCAUCAAUACAAUUGAUUUUUUGUUUGUUGGCUGGCAACACAGAGCGAACAAAUGGGAACUAAUUUAUGGAAGACGCACGAGACAGUUAGUGGUGGGCCUCGGUGCUUCGGUCAAUUCGGUUACCUGACUGUGCAUACAUACACAUGCCAAGCAAAUUCUCGGUUCAUAUGUUUACUGCAGUUUUAUUUGCAUGAAGCAUAUAAGAAACGAAAUGCUAAAUAAGUUUCAAUGUUCUGAAAUAGCAGCAAACAUGUAUCCAAAAGAAAAAUACUGAAUCUAAGACUUAACUACCAAGAUUAUUACCUCCUCAGCUUGCUUGUGGUUGCGUACUCGUGUUGCUGCUUUUGCCAUGAACUUAUAAGUCACUCUCAGCUGCAUAUAUAGAAGCAAAGACUUUUAAGCUAUCAACCAUAAUAGUCAUUGGUAAAUAUAUAAUCAGAAGAGCAUAAGCUUAUGUGCUUGUAUGGAGUAGUCGACGCUGCUUGGUGGAGAGGACAAACAACAUGCAUACUGCUCACAAAACAAAAAAUCCAAAAUAUUAUUUCAGUGAAAGAAUCAAAUGAAAAUUAGGGAACAGUUUGUAAGAAUUACAUAUAGGAGAAAAGAGCAUGGUACUCAGCUAGCCCCAUGACCCAAUUCUUCAAAAAAAAUCUACUUAGGAGCAUAGCUCCCAAUUUCCAUUACUGAAAACAUCACAUGUCUCAAGUUCGUCCCCCUCCAGGGGUACCUCAAAACAUCAGAAACUAAGCCACACACAGCAGCACUAGUACCAAACUAGACGCAGAACCUAAACAACGAGCAUCCAAACGUUCUAAUUACCAGCAACAAAACAAUAGUCUUAUAUUACUCGUGGCCCUACAUGCAAGGUACUGUACUACCAGGG